GUGGGCUCCCUAGGGUUGAGUGGGUGGUUGAUUGAAUAGUAUAAUCUAAUGGGUGAAAAUGAUUAAAGGGCAGAUCUAACGGGCAAAAACCUAUGAGUACAAGAGGCUCUAUACUCAUAAAAGUAUAGUAGCCGGACUCUAUAUAUAUAUAUAUAUAUAUAGAGAGAGAGAGAGAGAGAGAGAGAGAGAGAGGUUGGUAUACUAUCAGUAACACGGAGGUCUCCGUGUUACCAAGUUGUUUUCAAUGAUAUAGCUUCCAAAUCGACGAUCGGCUCUGUUAGACUUGAUCUAAACUAUUGUAAGUAUUUAAAAACUAAAUUUCAUAAUUUUUCGACAUCAUUUACCUAUCAAACGAGUAGUCUAAAAAUGAAUGAAUGAAAAUAAAAAUCUCAUAAAAAAUGAUGAUAAAAGAUUUGAAUUUAAGAUCAGAUGUAUUGAUCUUAUUCUAAAUAGUGAAAAUAAUUUUUUAUAAAAAUUUCAUCAGAUUUGGAUUGUUUUAUAUCGUUAAAUUCACAAACGCAUCACAUCGACCAUUCAAAUAGUCAAUUUUGAGACCUUUUGAUCAUUCGCUAAAUGAUGUUGAAAAAUUAUGAAAUUUAGUUUUCAAAUACUUUUAAUAGUAUAGAUCAAAUCUAAAAGAGCCGAUCGUCAAUUUGAAAGCCGCAUCAUUGAAAACAACUUGGUAGCACGGAGGCCUCCGUGCUACCAAUAGUAUACCAGCCCAGCUCAUACAUAUAUACGUACAGCCCAGCUCAUACAUAUAUACGUCAUCACAACACACAUACCCAACACACACACAAAACAUAUGUAUUAUAUUAUAUAUAUAUAUAAUACUAUUAUAUAAAAUAAUAUAUAUAUAUAUAAAAUAGCUAACUAUAUGAAAGAGGUAAUUAAUUAACUUUCUUUUUUCAACAUUUUUAGGAUAAAAUGGGUAUAUUAGUAAUUACCUAACUGUAUCAUGCAAUGCAUGCACGUACGGAAUGGUAUUUUGAAUGGUAUUUUGAAUUAACUACUAUAAUUUUAAAUUUUAAGAAGGCGGAAUUUAAAGGACGAGGAGGUAAAGUGUAGCUUAUCAUAAUAAGGAGAGGAAUUUGAUUUCGUGCAUGUCCAUAGUUUUAGAAAUCAUUGAGACUUGGUCUAAGCUUCAGAUGCAAUACAUGUAGAUCCUUAAGAGAAUUUUUGAGCUAAUAAGCCUACGAACAUUAUAAAAAAAAAAAGUAAAAUAAAAUAAACCCAACAUGUAACCAAUGAGAGCGAUUCAACGAGCCAAUUCGAUUGCAUAUCACUACGGGAAAAAAACAACAACAACAACAACGACGACGACGACGACAAAUUAUUAAGAUUGAUAUAACAAAUCAUUAAUAACAAGACCUUAUGAUACAUGCAUAUGCUUUAAAUCUAAGUCAAAUCACUCGCUUUCAAAAAUAUAAUUAAUCUAAUUAAUCCCUUCGUGGCUAAUCACAUUUGAUUGGUCACCAUGGAAUGACCACUGUAGCCUUAAGGUUGUGUUUGACAUUGGACUUAUGCUUUUGCUUAGUCAUAUCCUAGUUGAUAAAAAAUAAAAAAAAUAAAAAAUAAAAUUUUAAUUUAGAGUUUUAUUUAGAAAGAAACUCCAUUAAAUAUUUAAAUAUGUGUUGCAUUGUUUGAGAUUCCUUUUGGUACCUUUUAUAGUUUGAAAUAUUCCUCUUAGAAUAAGACAUGCAAAAGCAAAGGUGUUAAAGUAUCUUUUUUUUUUCUUUUUUCUUUUUUUUUUUGUGGCUAGUUGGCAAAUACACAUCAAGUUAGAAUUAAUAAAGUACAUGCAUUUAUAUAUUGUUUAAUAAAAAAAUAAUUGUAUAUGUAUCGUUAAAUCGCGAUAAAAUUGUAUAUUUAUUUUCACAAAGUUUUAGUUAUCUGAUACAUUCUUUGGUAGUUAAUCGGUUAAAGUCAAUACUUUUAGGGUGCGUUUGGUUGGCAUUAUGAAAGAUUACUAGGAAUAAAAGAUAUCCGAGAAUUUUAUUCCUAUUCAUCCUAUUACUAAGAAUGUGGAAUUUCUGUGUUUGGUUCGUACGGUAAUAUUAAUUAGUCAUGUUAUUUAAUAUUACAAAAAAUAUACAAUUAAUUUAUUUAUUUAUUUAUUUAAUUUUAAAUAAUGUUACCGAAAGUUUCAAUAUUUUUUUAGAAAAAAGGGAGAGAGAGUUAUAAGUUAGAGAGAGAGAGCAUAAUUAAAAAAAUAAAAAGAAAAAUAUAGUCGAAAUUAGAGGAAGUGGGAGAGUUGAAAUUUUAGAAAGAGAGUGAGAGAAAGCUUAGUUUAGAGAGAGAAAAAAAAGUUAAAUUUUAGAGAGAAAAAUAAGUUUAGAGAGAGAUAUAAGGUUAGAGUGUAAAGAAAAAUAAUAUCAAUUAGCCGGCGGGUAGGAAGAAAGAAAGAGAUUAGACAUAUUAUAAUUAUCCCAAUCCAUUAAUGUGAGGAUAUCCAUCCUCCCUCAAGAGAAUGAGAUUAGUACUUUGGGGUGAAUCUUAUUCUCAAGUGAAUCCAAUAUUACCAACUAGAUUACUUAGUGCGUUUAGCCAAACACCGUCAUAUUUUUUUAUUCCCAAUUGGAUUACUAGGAAUCUUUGAAAGAUAGCGCGAACCAAACGCACCCUUAAUGUAAUUUUUUUAUUUUAGCUUCUGUGUUAUUCUACAUAAAUCAUAAAUCAUAAAAUCCCAAAAAAAAUUUAAAAAAUUAUUGUUUACAAGGGUAUAACCGAUCGAAUUAGUAAAAAAUUUAGCGAAAUAAAUUUACAUAUUUUAAAGCUUUAGAAGGAUAUAUAUUUGAUAAUUUAAAAAUUUACAUAGGUAAAUUCAUAAUUUUAAAACUUUAUAGGAAUACAUUUUAAUUUAUUCUCCAACUGUUGAACUUAGAAAAAAAGAGUUUUUUUUUUCUAAAUAGAAUAAGCGAAAUAAAUAUUAGUGUUUCUAAAUUUAUACAUGUACUUUGCAGGCCCUAUAUUUUUUAGUUCAAUUUAAUAAAUUUUUAAGAUUCAUCGUGACAAAUUCAUUAUAUUAAAGACAAAUGUAAUUAUGUUUUUUGUUUUCUACCGACCUUCGCAUUAAGCACACUAUUUUUUAUUAUAUAUUGGAUUACAUUAAUUAAUUAUAUAUAUAGGUAACACCUAAAAUUAAGUCAACAAGACUUUUGACUUUAAAAUUUUAAUAUAUCGUUUAUCUUUACAGAUUUACUUAAUAUAUUUUAUUCAAUUCUUACAACUAUAAAUUCAAUAAAACAAGUAAUUAGCUUUUGAAGUCAAAGUGUGGUUGACGGACUCGAAUAAAAUAAAUUUAAAAAGUUAGAUAGUGAAAUCAAAAUUUCAAAAAAUUAAAUAGCUGACUAAAAAUGAUUCAUAAUUCAGAUAAGUUCUGCACGUUUCUACCAACAUUUUAUAAGACAGUAAUGCUAUAAAUAGAUACAAUUCACUAGGGGCAAUUAGUUUCUCUAAAUUUAAAUAUUAUUGACUAAUUGAAAAAACUUAAAAAUUAAAACCUUACAUUACGAGGCUCUCAAUCGAGAGACGAUCAAAUCAACUAUUUCACAGGAAUUGACAAAUAGAUUCGUUAAUUAUAUGUGAUAGUCGACCAAUUAAAUAGUUUCUCUACUGGAGGCUAGUUUUUCACGUAAAUUUUAUUCGUUGUAUAUUUAAAUCGAUUACUCCACGCAUUUUAUUAAAAAAAAAGAUUUUUAUUGAAUCAAUUACUUGAAUCAUGUAAGAACAAUGAGAUGUCCAAUCAAGCAAAACAGUGUCAUUAAAAAAAAAAAUUAAUCAGAAAAUCAUUAUUUCUACGUGGAGGCCCCAGCAUCCAAUAGUGUUCGGUGCGCACGAUGUACGGAUGCACCGGGUCCAGCGAAAAUCUCCUAGACCGGAAAGGUGGAUGCGGAGUCGACCACAAAACCCGCGUCAACAGCUCGGCCCGACUAAUCGGGGCGCUCAAACUAAAAACUCGCCGAUUUUUUCUCACACAAUAAUAACAAAUAUAAAAUAAUAAUAAUAAUAAUAAUAAUAAUAAUAAUAAAAAUAAAUAAAUAAAUAAAAGUGUUGUUAGAUCCCGCAACGGAGGCGUCGGGCGCGGUAGCGCGACAACGACCACCGAACUCCGAAGCUACGCUAUAAUCCGCUAACCUGCGCCACCCCAAACAAACCAUGGUUAAGCUAACGUGCGCCGCCCCCAGGUAAGGUUAACCCCUGGUUGAGAGAAAUUAUUAUCUCCUGCAUCCGGUGUAUCCGUGCUCCCCCUGCACCGCCCGCUAAAAAUAACACGUCACAGGCCUUAAAAUUAAUUUCUCUUUUUUCUUAAAUAAUAAUUGCCUAUAUAACAUCAAAACUUCAAAAAUAUCUAAUUUAUCCAUAUUUUUUAUUUCUAAUAUAUCCCUCGUAUGUUUCUCCGUUAUACAACGUGAGUUAAAUAUCUACUAGAGUUUUUUAAAAAAUAAAAUUAUUUCUUUUAUCUUUACUUAAGGGCAAAUAAGAAAAGUUGGUAACAGUAGGAUAUAUUUGAAAAGACUAAAAAUUAAAAUACCUUUUUUAUCCCCAAUUUAAUGGCAAAUAAAAAAAACAGAAUUUCACAAAGAUAACGGCUUAAUUCUGAAAUAACUUGAAAAGUAAAUUUUUUUUUUUUUUAAUAUUAGCCUUUUAAGAAGAAUAAAUUAGAAAAUGAGAAAUUUUUUAGGAGUAUAUAUGAGCAAUCGGUCCUUUUCUUUAAGAUGGUGCAAUGCAGAGAGGUUACUAGGGAUGCAAAUGGAUUCGGAUUGGUGGAGCUCCGCCCCGAUCAGCCCCGAAUGGGGUGGUAAGUGGGAACAAAAAAUAUAGAAAAAUAUAACCCGCCCCGAAUCCGCCCCGAUCCGCCAAGUAAAUGAAGCGGGAGGCGAGAGACUCUUUUUUUCCUUCAAUCUAUCCCGAUCCGUUAAAAAUCCGCUCCCGCCCCGCUCCCGCCCCGAUCCGCCCCGAAUGGAGCGGUAAGUGGGAGGCAAAAAUAAAAUGAAAAGUAAUCCGCCCCGAAUCCGCCCCGCCCAGAUAAAAAAUGGAGCGGGAGAUGGGGAAACUCUCCCGCCCCCGAAUCCGCCCCGUUUGCAUCCCUAGAGGUUACGGUGCGUGAAGUGCACGGAUGGACGGGGUGCAUGCAAUAGUUUAGUUUCCAUGCAGGGGUGGGUCCCACGGGAGGUUUCGUGAGUUGUGACAGCAACGAGACAAGACGUCAGCCGCAGUACCCGACGAUGUGCCCGCGCGCGGGAAAGGGGUGGGGGGGGGAAGUGUAUUGCAGGGCUGCGGGACCACGUGGGACGGGAGGGAGUGGGCGCGGGGUCACGCGCGUGGGUGCGGCAAUUUUCUGUCGCGUCGAUGCUCGCAUGCGACGCGACAGGAGGAGAGUGGUGGGGGGCGGGGGGCGGUGUGUGGGCCGCGGCCGGUUGGUGCCUCUCUUGGAUCUUCUGUCGUUCGGGUGAAAACUUUUCCCGGUUUAGCUUAGCCCUUACACCCGAUCCGACCCGAGUCUGUGACGCCUGUCAAUAUAUUAUAUAUAUCAUAUAUAAUAUAUAUAUAUAUAUAUAUAAUAUAUAUAUAUAUAUAUAAUAUAUAUAUUAUAAUUAUAGUACAUAUAUACAUGAGAGAGAGAGAAAUGAGUGAAAUACUAUUAUAAUAUUUUUAAAUUUUUUUUAUCAAAUUUUUAGUCGUUAAAUCCGUAUACUUUUAAUCAAUUCCAUCAGUAAAUCAUAUACAAUUCAACAACCAAUUUAUUCACUCUAGAUGGACCAUCACUAAUCAUAGGUUCGGAGGCUUGCCUAUGAUACUUAACCCUUGCCAAUUUUCAUCCAAGCAGUUAAAAACUCGAUAGCUAAUGAGCCCAAAUUAUAGUAUUCAAUGCUCAAUUAUAUAUAUAUAUAUAUAUAUAUAUAUAUAUAUAUUAUGGCUACAAUAGUAUCGAUAGCACCAAGUUUUUCGCCGUUUGAUCUAUCCAUUUAAUUAUUUUUAUCCGUUAAAUCAUAUUAUUCAACCAACCACUGAUUCAACCUUAGGGAUCACUAUCAUCCUAACCACACAUCUAUCCAUCUAAAUGGUCCAAAUUUCAGGUAAGUUCCGUAACAAUUUUACCUUUUCGUUGUAAAGAUAUAUAAAAUAUAUUUGAACUAUGGAUCAUGUUAAAUCGAAUAGUAAAUGUUUCAAAAUUUUGAUUUUACCAUCUUUAAAGAUGGGUUGAUAAUUCAGCUAUGUUCCAGACAAAUUUAGCUGGACCCCACAUGUUUUAAUUUUAUGGACUAAUCUUAUGAAUAUCACUCAAUACUACAAAUAUUACAAGAUUAGAUAAAAAGGAUUAAAAAUUUUAUAAAAAAAUUAUAAAAUCAGGUAGAAAUAUUUAUUUUUUUUAAAAAAUAUUUUAUAGUACUGUUUAUCUUUAAUUAAUACUAUUUUCUUAUGAAAAUUGACUCUAAAUGAAACAGCUGUUGGAGAUGAUAAAGAUGUUACAAGUUGACAUGUUGCUCUCACGGCAACUAUUCCCAUCUAUUUCUUUGUCCUAUGCCAAGAAAAUGAAACAUAGCUUAUUUUAAUUCAUUAAAACUUAGAUGAUUUAGAUAUUUAACUAAUGUAUUAAUCGGAUCCAAAUUAAUUUUUAUUAGAGAGAAUGAAAAGCUUCUCAAUUCUGCAGAAACGUAUUAUCUGCACGUAAUUAUGCGUGUGCAUAAUGAAAUUCACAUGAAAUAUCUCUGCUGUGGAACCAUCAAAUUUUGUCGUUUCUGAAAAUGUCUUUUUUUUGAAUUUUAAAGUAGAAAAUUAAGAAAACAAUUGUUUUUUUUCUUUUUUUUUUUUUCUUUUUUUUGGGUUUGUCACAAUUGGUUUCUUUGGGUUCUCACACACACUCAUCCAAAGUUAUAUAUAUAUAUAUAUAUAUAUAUAUAUAUAUAUAUUAUAUAUAUAUAUUAGUAGUUUUGACUGGGCUACUAAUCGUAGAAACUGCUUCGGUUUACUACGAUUUAUUUUUGAUGAAAGCUUCAAAUCAACUGAAGCAUGCGCACCGUUGAACAUAAUGCUAGCACCAUUUAAAUUAUCUACAAUAUAAUUUCAUUAAUGAACGAUCACGUAGGUCACAAAUCUAUAUUUUAAUGGGCCGAUAUGAGUGGCGUUUGUCGUUUAAUGUAUAGAAGAGUUCAAUCAACCUAAAUUUUGUUUAGAAAAUUCUUUAAAUACUAUUAAAUAAGAUAUAGACGUCUAGAUCUUCAAAUAUAAAAAUUGUAUUAUUCACUUUUUGAAGAUUUCAUUUCCCAGCGUAUUCAUUUUUCUGUUCACAGAUUGAUGGAAAGAGACAAUAUCGAAACUUGUGUGAAAUUUGAUUUACCAGAUAUUUAAAUAGUUAGAUCAUGUUUAACGUCGCGACACCUCAUUGGAAGCUCUAUCAUCGAAAACAAAUCGGUAGUAAAUCGAGCGUUUACGUACGAUAGUAUUCUGCAAAACUCUCUCUCUCUCGCCUCUAUCUCUCUAUAUAUAUAUAGGUCCGGCUACUAUAACUAUCGUAGGCAGUGACUGCCGUGUUUACAGUUUGUUUUCAUAAUGCGACUUCGCAAACGACGAUCGCUCUAUUUAGACUUGAUCUACCACUAUUGAAAGUAAUUUGAAAAUUAAAUUCCAUAAUUUUUUUCGACAUCAUGUUGACUGUAUGAUCAAAAGAUGUCAAAUUGACAAUUUUAAAUGGCCGAUGUGGUGGUAGUUUGAGAGUUUAACGGUUAAAAUCCAAAUCCGAUGAAAAUUUAUAAAAAAUCUAUUUUCACUAUUUACGAGUAAAGAUUCGCAUUAUUGAUCCUGAAUUUAAUUUUUAUAUCAUUUUUUUUUUUUUUUUUUAUGAGAUUUUUAUUUUUAGGUCCGUUCAAUUUUUAAGACUACUUGUCUGAUAGUAAAUAAUAUCGAAAUAUCUAUGAAAGUUAUUUCUAAAUACUUUUAUAUGUUAGAUCAAGUCUAAUUGAGCGAAUCGUCGAUUGAAAAGCCGCAUCAGUUGAAACACAUUUGUAGUAUGAGCCCGUCUGUGCUACGGAUAGUAUAGUGAGCUGGACUCCAUAUAUAUAAUAUCAUAUAUAGUUACGAGACCUGUUUGAUUGCUGCUGUUUGAAUUAGGAUUACAAAAUAUAGGAAAAAAAAGAAGAAAUUUGAUUGGAUAUUUGUAGUCAAUUUUUCGGCAAUGUAAGUGAAUAUAUAAUAUAUAUAUAUAUAUAUAUAUAUAUAUAAUAUAUAUAUAUAUAUUUUUUUCUUUUUUUCCUCCACCUAUUUCUAAUUCUCUUUUCAAUUCAUAGAAUGCCUUAGAUAUUUCAGUAAAAUAUAUAUACUUGAAGUCAUUGCUUUCACGUAAAAUACUGUAAACGCAGGCCUAGAUAAGGUGAUUUUUUUAAAAAAAAAACUACUAAUUAAUAUAGCUAUUUGAAAUUUUAAUUUGCAUAUUUAUUUAUUUAUUUAUUUUCUAUGACAAUUGAAUUAAUGUCUCUUGCCUACUUGAUCCUAAAAAGUUGAAGGGUUUAAAUAAAUUAAUUUGGCUUUAUGGGAGUGUCAAGAAUCUACAUGGCAAUGUGUCGGAGAGAGUGGAAUGUUUCUUUGUCGCAUCUUUUUUUUUUUUUUUCUUGUCUUUUUUUUUUUUCUUUUUUUUUUUUUGGCAUUUAAUGGCCGCUAAUACAGGGUUUUUGUUUAUGCGAUUCAUAUAUGUUGUUUUGAGCAUUUUUCCUAAUGCGGUGUGAAAUGUGAUUCACCUAAACCAGAAACGUCCAUGAUCACCAUGCACCCACACUUUUGGAGUGGCUCUUUUGGGAUGCUUAAUUUAAUAAGGUAUUAAAAAGAAAGAAAAAGAAAAAAAAAACAACAAAUGUGUAUAAUUAGAGUUAAUCAUUUAGGAUUAUCUCCAAAAUUAAGAGUUAAUUAAUUAUUGUUUGGCGAAAUUAGUAUUGCAUCAAAGGUGUGGUAGUUUCAUUCUUUAGAUAGAAAAAUAGGUAAUUAAAAUGUGCAACCACUCUCUGAACUUUAGUUGUUUUGUCAAUAAGGGUCGGAGUGAUUAAUUUUUGGCAAUUGCAUCUCCUAAACUUUAUCAAAUAGUUUAGUAGAUCCCUCUCCUCAAUUGAAAUCAUUAAUUAUACAAUUAUUUUAAUUGUAUGCAUUGUAUAUAGUUUUAUGAAGUUUUUAGAAUGUGAACAAUUUUACUUUUUAUAUUUAAUUUAACGUUUGGUUCAACCCGUUCUUCACUCACCAUGUUUAAUUAUCAAAAUUAGAAGAGAAAAAUAAAUUUUUAUAUAUUUUGAAAAUUUUCAGGAUUAUGUGUCCAACAUCCGAUCAAAACAGUUGUUUAGUUAGUAAGUUCACUUGAGUAGAGGGGUCUGUUGAACUGUUUAAUAAAAUUUAGAAAAAAUUUGUCAAAAUUGAAAAUUCAAAUGUCUACUUGCAAAAGAGAUAAACUUUAGAGGGUCUUUGUACAUUUUACCCUAAAAAGAAAAUAAUAAAGGUCUUUUGGGUUUGUUGCUGUAGUGUUGUUUGAUUAAGAAUGUAUUAAGAUUGUCUAAUGCUAUUGUGCAAAAAGAAUUGAAACUAAAAUAAAUAAAUAAAUAAAUAAUAUAGAGAGAGAGAGAGAGAGACUUUUUUAUUUUUUAGUGGGACAACACAAAUCACAUCUUAAGUGAAUCGACAAAAUCUGCAUGACGAAUCGACGCGUUUAAAAACAAAUUAAAUUUUUUUUUUUGCAUCACGCAUUCUAAUUAUGCACGUCCUCAUCCUGCAUCUCCGAAUACGGUCUAAGUGAUUUUGAAAAGUCAGAUCAAGUGAAGCACUAUAUUAAAUUCCCCUUCGCCAAUAACAAAAUCGGAAUAUUCGAAUGGAAUCUCAACUCUUUACCAUCAAAAGGUAACCUUAUUACACUUACCUCUAUCGCAAUAUUGUAUACUUUUCUAAUCGAUAAAUUCAUUAUUAGAAAUAACUGUAGCUAAAAGCUGAAACAGAAACACCGCGAAAAAUAGGUUCUAGGAGAGAGAGAGAGAGAAGAAAAGGCCAAGGCUACACAAAGCAAUGAAAAGAAGAAGAGCCAAGUAAUAAGAUGCUUUAUUUGCCAUGUGAUGAUGCUCCAUUGGAUCAAAUGGCCCAGCUGUACCUCUCAUGUUGCUUCCAAUCAUAGGCACUGAAACUUUUUCAUACCCCCACCUUUUUCUUUUUUUUUUUUUGACCAAAUUAAAUAAAGCAUAAAUUAAAAAGACCUACUGUGGGGGACAUAUGCAUGGGUCUACACUUCACCCAAUUAAAAAGGACCAUGUGCUUGUCCUUUGUAACCUCAACAAUUUAAUUCCUUACAACAUGGGAAUGACCUUUCAACUGUACUCCAUAUUUAUUUUUAGAUUAAAACUAUGUACGCUCUAAUUUAUCCUCAGCAUAUGAAGUAUAUGAUUUCAUGUGUCAUACUAAAUAUAUAUAAUUCUAACUUCUAAUUAUAGACAAGUUCCACUACGUGUAGUUAUUGCAAGUUUAUAUAUAUAUAUAUAUAUAUAUAUAUAUAUAAUAUAUAUAUAUAUAUAUACUAUAUUAUAUAUAUAUUAAAUAUAUAUAGUUGAGCUAUUGAUACUUUAUACAACGUAUUCCCUCAUGGUGCUAUUAGGGUUUAAAGCUAUUGGAUCCUAAUUUUGUGUAUUAUUUAGCCCUUGGUAUUAAACACUAUAACACUACCACCACGCUACCACCAUUCAUCUCAACCUCACAUCUCAUCCACUCAAGCUAAAAACACACAAAUAUCACCCCCCCCAUAUACUUUUACGAGUUAUUAUAGCCCUACUCAUAUAUAUAUAUGAUUAUAUAUAUAAUUAUAGAUAUUAUAAUAUAUAUAUAUAUUAUAUAGUCCAGCUACUAUUCUAUUUAUAGGAUAGAAACACUUGUCCUAUCAAGUCCGUUUGAAUGCAUCUGGAACUUUCAAAUUGUAUAACUCGGCCACCGUUGAAAUUGAUCUACACACUAAUUAGAAAUGUUUAGAAAACCAAAUUUUAAUAUUUUAAAAAUCUAUUAUCAGGUUAAUCUUUAGAGUAAAAAAAAAUGACACGGUCAUAAAAUGAAUAAAUUUUCUGUAAAAUAGAGAUUAGAUUUUCUCCAAUUAUAAUUGAUUAUCAAAACAUUACCUUAAAUAGGUUAAAAGAUUUUUUUAUUCAAAAAAUUUAAGCCAAUUUGGAUUUGCUCUUACACCUGUAAACAAGCAAACCGGCUCAUAUUAGGCCGUAAAAAAUUUCAUUUACGAUCACUUUUGACUCACCAUGCUAGAAUAAUUUUUAAAAAUUUAUGAAUUUAGUUUCUAGAAGUUUUCAAAUACUUCUAGAUCAACUUCAACCGCUCCGAUCAUCAAUCGGAAUCUCUACAUUACAGAACAUUUGAUAGACAAGUGCUACUAUCCUCAUUAAAUAGAGAUAGUAAGCUGCUAGCUAUUAUAUAUAUUAUAUAUAGAGUCAUGAGAGAGGAGAGAGAGAGAGAGAGAGAGAAGCGAGGAAGAGAGAGAGAGAGAGAGAGAGAGAGAGAGAGAGAGAGAGAGAGAGAGAGAGCAGGACAACUGUGCCAUAUGAGUCCGGCUGGAAUACUAUCGAUAGCAUUAUGUAUUUGGUGCUAUCAAGUUUUACGCCGUUAAAUUUAACCCUUUGACUAUUUUCACCCGGUAGAUUAUACUAUUAACAAACAACUCACUUAACCUAGGGGGCCCACAUCAUCUUAACCAUAUAUUUUUUAAUCCAAGGACUAAAAAUCUAAAAGCACUAAAAUGUUUAGUGCUAUUGAUAGUAUUCCAGCCUAGGUCUCUCUCUCUCUCUCUCUUCUCUCUCUCUCUCUCUCUCUCUGCUCUCGUCCUCUAUAUUAUAAUAUAUAUAUAUAUAUAUAUAUAUAUAAUAUAUAUAUAUAGGGUCCGACUACUAUAACUGUUAUGAUCGAUCGCCCCUCGUACUCAUAAGUUGUUUUCGAUGAUAGAGCCUCCGAAUCGACGAUCCACACCUCCCCCCUCGUGCACGACGCCCUCCUCCUGAAGGCCCUUCUGCACAAAAAAUAUAAAAAAAAGAAAAGAAAAAAAAAACUGCCCGAAGCCACCCUCCUCUAAAACCCAAAAAAAAAAUCCUUAAUACAAAUUUUUUUCAACUUAAUAUACCAUCUACCCCCGCACGCCUACUUGAAGCAUUCCCUCCUUCUCAACCCAACACAAACACAACACACAUAAAAAGAAAAAAAAAAAAAAUCGCUGCAACCAGCCAACCACCCUCCCAAAAACCAAAAGAAAAGAAAUAAAUUUUCUUAAUGCAAUUUUUUUAUUUUUUUUUUUCAACUUAAUAUACUAAUUUAACAGCGAUCUCUUCUCGCGGUGGGGCCGGCGAACCACGAGUAGAGUUGAGGCAGAGAGGCGAAGGAGAGAGAUUGGGGAGGAGAGAAGAGAGAAAGGAAAAAAAAAAAAAGAAAAGUAAAGAAAGAGAGAGAGAAAGUGCUUCUUAGUGGCUCCGUUACUUCUAACCCACCUAACAGUAGAACCACUUGGUUAGGGUGGGCUCUAAAUCCAAGCCCUCUAUCUAUACAAGAUGGAACUGCAGAGAGUUCUUAAUAGCACAGGCUGAGCACAGGCAGCCCUACUUUUAUAUAUAUAUAUAUAUAUAUAUAUAUAUAUAUAUAUAUAUAUAUAUAGUUGAGCUAGAAUACUAUCGAUAGCAAACGGGCUCCGUUGCCACCCAUUUAUUUUCGAUGAGGGAGCCUCCAAAUCGACGAUCGGCACCCUUAAAUAUAAUCUAUACCACUUGAAGUAUCUAGAAAUCAAAUUUCAUACUUUUCCGACAUUGUUCUCUUGUCCAUCAAGUGGGCGUAAAAAUGAACGGUUGAAAAUGAAUAUCCUCUAAAAAGUGAAAAAUGAACGGUUGAAAAUGAAUAUCCUCUAAAAAGUGAUGAUAGAAAUUUUAUAAUCAUGAUCGAGAGUAUAGAUCUUGUUCUAAAUAGUUUAAAGAAUUUUCUAACCAAAAUUCAAUUGAUUUGGAUAGCUUUACACCGUUAAACGUGAAAACACCUCAUAUCUACCACUAAAUUUAUAAAUUUUGAAAUCUUUUGAUUAUUAGGUCAAUGAUAUCGAAAAGAUUUGAAAUUUGGUUUCUAGAUAUUUCAAGUGGUAUAGAUCAUAUUCAACGGUGCCGAUCGUCGAUUUGGAGGCUUCAUCAUCGAAAACAAAUGGGUGGCAACGGAGCCCGUUUGCUACCGAUAGUAUUCCAGUUCAACUCUCUCUCUCUCUCUCUCUCUCUCUCUCUCUCUCUAUAUAUAUAUAUAUAUAUAUAUAUAUAUAUACACACACACAAAACAUCUUUUAAAAGUUCUUACACGUCGGAUGUCAAAUUUGAAAGUUUGGGAACCAAAAUGAAAUUCCAAAAAAUUUAAUGGAUAAAUAUAUAUUGGUUUAUAUUAUAUAAAAAUUUAUUUGAUUUGAGUUAAACGGUUAUACUUUUAGUUAAUUAGUGGUCAUGUGGGAUAGUCGAGUUGUUGAAGAACAAAGAUUCCGGGGUCAGAGCCUGGUAGGGCUGGCAAAUGAGCGAGCCGGCUCGCAUUCGACUCGCGUUCGACUCGAUAUUUGGCUCGUUCGAGCUCGGGACUCGAAAUUAAAGCGCCGAGCUUGAACAAAAAAAAAACAUCGGAAAUUCAUUUCAAGCGAGCUUGAGUAUUAUCGGGGUUCGAUUAGGCUCGAAAGUUCGAAUAUAUUGCUAAUAUAUAUAAUUUAUAUAUAUAUAUACUAUAUAUAUAUAUAUAUAUAUAUAUUAUAUAUAUAUAGUAGAGCUACUAUGCUAUCGAAAAUAUAGAAAUAUUGGUGCUUUCGUUUUUGAUUCUUAGAUCAAUCCCUUUAAUGUUUUUUAUCUUUGGAUUAAUAUUAUUAUUACCUUGUAGGGACCACUCAAUCCUAAGAAUAUCAUUUAACCUAGAGGAGACCGCAAUCAUGCCCAACCAUACAAAUUUUUUAAUUAAAGGGUUCAAAAUUCAAAAACAUCAAAUCUCUAUAUUUUCGAUAGCAUAGUAGUUCUACACUAUAUAUAUAUUAAAAAAUAUAUAAAUAAAUAUAUUUUAAUUAUAUAUAGGCUGAGUGAAUAAUUUGAGUUUAGUUAAAAUUAGGCCAAUAUUGUUGGCCCAUAAAAAUAAAUUCAAUAUCAAAUAAAAGAGCAAAAUUUUACUAAAUUUAUAUAUUUUUUCUUUCUUUCUUUCUUUCACAGACAGCUCUAAUUUUUAAUAUUUCUCUCUUUUUUCUUUUUUCUUUUCUCACCCUAAGUUGCCAAGCCGGUAAGCCUCUAAGUUAUCCAAGUACAUUCAUAUGCUCGCCGUUGCCUACCUCGUAUUAAUUGUAUGCUUGAGAAACAUAUAGAAUAUUUUUAAAGUAAAAAUUAUUAUUCAUUAUAAAAUUUUAAUUUUAGUUAUAUAUGAUUGGAUGUUUAAUCAAUAUUUAUCUAUAUAAUUUAUUUAUUUUUGACUGCAUAAAUAAAAUGAAAUAAUAUAGGAUUGGAAGCGGAAAAAGACAUGUGAGGCUGAAAAAAUUAGAUUAUUCAACUCAUAAUUAUUUUUUUAUAUUAUAAUUACUAUUUUUAUAUAAUUAUUUUGUACUUUGAAUUAUUAGACAUAUUUUUGUAUCAAAUUAUAGAUAAUAUUUUAUACAAAUUAAACUAUUGAUCGUAUAAUGUUUAGAAUUUCAAGUGGCUCGUUUAGGGCUCGAGCUCACUCAACUUGAAAUUAGACUCGCUCGAGCUCGGCUCGAAUUAAUUUUAAUCCAAACUUGAGCUUAAAUUUAGGCUCGAAAUUAAUUUCAAGCCGAAUUUGAGCCGAGAUAAGCUUGCUCGAGCUCUGCUCGUUUCCACCCCUAGAGCCUGGGCCACAUUCCCGCACGUGACUGGAGGGGCACGCGCACGUGACGCCCUGGGUCCGCACCGCGCGGCUUAUGCGGCGCCGCCUCACCGGUCGCAUGAGGUGCACCCGCACCGGCGCACCCGCACCGGCCGUUGCGUUAGAUAUUUGGGAAAUAUUCACAAAGACCCCUAACCUUUUAAUUUUCGCAAUUUAAAACCCAAACCGUAACGUACAACAAACUUUACUAUUUACACAGAUAUUUUUUAUCCAAUAUGGUGUUUAUAAUCUCGCAAGAUUUAAAAGAUAAAAAAAAAUCUAUUUUUUCGCUUUCAAUUUUGAUAAAUUUUUUUUAUAAAUCAUAUGCAAAAUAUAUGACUAAAGUAGAUAUGUAAUUAGUAAUUUCAAUUGAAGAGAGGUGCCUAAUGAACUAUUUUGUACAGUAUGAGAGGUCUAAAUGCAAAAAUUUAAAGUUCGUGGGGUCUCUGGACAAUUUUCCCUUGAUAUUUUCUAACCCCGCACCCAAGCCCCAUGUGGGGGACCCUUAUGCGGUUCAAUGUAUCUAAAUACGAUUAAUUAAUGAGGGUUUAAUCUAAUGGAGUUGAGAUUUGUCUAAUUAGUUAUUAUACUUGCUUAAUUAAGUAUUUUUGGGGUAACAAGCGUGGUUAGUCCCUACAUUAUUCUGAUAUUACAAAUUUGUCCCUGUGUUUCUCAUGUAAAUAUGUAUAUUAUUAUUAUAUUAUAAUAUUUUGUUCUUAAUUUUUGAAAUAUAUGAGUUUUCCUAAUGUGAUCUCCAAUGAAGUAAUAAUUAAUUACAACUGUGUCCAAUGUUAAUAUAUUGAUGGAAUGCUUAAACAUGAUCUUUGGAUUCUAACAUUGAUUUGUAAAACAUUAUAAAAAAAAAAAGAAGCAUUAAUUAAUAGCAUUAAAAAUUAAUAAAAAAUACUCCCACAAAGUAGCUCAACUGUCUCUUCUUUGUGGAAGAGAAAAACAAACUUUGUGGGUUAAUUAAGUUGGCCUAAUACAUCUAUCAAAUAGAGAGAAUCACAUGAUAUUUGUAGGUUAAUAAAAUAAUUUUUUUUUAUAUUAUUUCAUAUAUAGAUUUAAGAAUAGAUUUAUGUGUGUAAUGUUAACAGGUCGAUUUCAGUGUGGUUUUCGUAAAGUUGCGUAUUUAGCUCACAAAAGCUUGAUAAGGAUAAACUCAGGGUGCAUGUCACUAUUAGUACUAAUUAAGGUGUUGGCUUAUGUGUAAGAAAUAUAUCUUGGAAAAAAUAUAUGGUUAUAAUGGUCAUGUUGAUAACAUCCUAAUAAAUGCUUGGUCAUAAUAAUCUUGGUAGGAGCAAUAUCUUAGCAAAUAUAUGUUAUAUUAAUGAAAAAGACAAAACCCUUAAUUUCAUAAGGUAAAAUAUAAUAAAUAUGAGAAAGGUAUUUAUACAACGAUGGCAUAUUUUUUUAUAGAAAAGGUAACAUGCUGCCGCUUUAUUCGUUAAGAAGGAUAAAUUUAGCUGUAUAAAGCAGGCAACUUGGGUCUCGAGAAAAAGAAGACAACAAAAUAGAGAAAAGAGAAAGUGACGAGGAAAAGGAAGAAAGAGAUACAGGAAGAGGGAAAGAAAAAGGGGGUCUGAACUUUAACUAUAUGACUCAAACCAAUCUGCUGAAAGCCCACUAAUUUUAGACGAAACAAAAGAAGGGUUCUAGCUUUUAUUCCUGAAACUAACAUUACUUCUCUCGAGCAAGACAGUCCGCCAUGAGAUAACUUUUUAUGUUAAAUAUAUAUAUUUUUGGAUCCUUUUACAUGGAAUCGAGUUUUUCUGAAUAGUGUGGUAUCAGAACCAGUCUGAAGCUUUCGCCGUUCUGUGAAAUUGUGAUUUCGACUUCACCUUCUACAGUUAACUGAUUAAAAUUUUAACCGUCAAUUUCACAUGUCAUUUGUAUUCAUCACAUAUACGAGCAAAGUUUUCUAUUAUAUUAGUGGAUUAUGAGUAGGACGAAAAACUUAACCAAACCAUAUAAGCCAAAAUGAUGCAUAAGUUAGGUUUAAGCUUUCUUCAUUUGCUUAAUCCUCAUCCAUCUUUGUCCUAAGAAUGUUAGAAAUGGAAGUCAAAGAUUCCUAAAUGAGGUUUUUUUACUUUUGUUUGUUCAUGUCUUUGUCAAUCAUGUCCACCCUAACCAACAACUAAAUUCCAACAAGUAACAAAAACACCUAAGUUUUGUAUGAAUUCACAUUUGUCAACUAAAAUCCAACAACUAUGACAACCCUAAUGAUCAACAUUAACUACAUUCCAACAAAUACCUGGAUUUGUAUGGAUUCAUCAUUUUCUUAUCUUGUUCAUUAAGUAUUUGAAGAUUCAUCAAAGCAUUCUGAGCCGUAAUUAAAUUGACUUCUACAGACCUGUUUAGCCCUACUUCUGUUUCUCCUUUCAUGUACGAAAAUGUAAUUUCAGAAUCCUACCUAUCAUAAGAGAUAAGUAGUUUCGCUGAAUUUAAUAUAAUUUUCUUUUUUUUUACUAGUACUACUCAAAUAACACUUUACUAAAUUGGCCUUAAGUGGAUCAACUUGUUGAGUAAUAUAAUUCAAACCAAAUGAAAAAUGUUUCCAAGUAAUGGGCUUCAAUUAAUCAACUCUAAAAAUUGAUUACAUUAACCAAACGCCACAUCUAUAUAUUAGGGCCGAUAUCCGAAUAUUACUAUGUACGAAAAUAAUUAGUUCUAAUAUAUCUCUAAUAAACAUAAUCCAUAAAAAAUAACCAAAUAACCAGACUCAAAAUAAUAUAUAGUAAUAUAUAUAUAUAUAAUAUAUAUAUAUAUAUACUAUGAUAUAAUAUAGGUAUAUAUUAUAUACUAUAAUAUAUAUAUAUAAAAUUUCAGAAAAAUAAUCUAAAAAGAUAAAAACGGAGGCCAAUCAGCCAUAAUUGCUAUGCUGUUGACAGGUAAACCUUGAAAAGUGUUUUCCGAAUUAGAGUUGUAAGCUGAAAUCUGAAGCUCGUGCAAAAUGUUAUGGUUGUUAAAGAUUUUCAACUCAGCUUCAUUGAUCGCAUUUUUCAGGAACUUGACGCUAAAUUAGCUGCAUCAAAACCACAUUCACCCCUUCAUAAUUAAUUUGACUAAGAGGCUAUGAUGCAACUCUACCAUGUGCACCAAAUCCAUGCUCAUUGCAAACAAAUCUUUGUUUCAUUUUAUUAAUCCUAACUAUAGAGGGGUGAGGGGUUAGAAAAUAGAGGCAAAAACCAAGACCAUAUCACACAUUUGACUAGGGUUUUCUCAUGUUGCAUGACUAGUAAAACUACCAAAAAAAAAAAAAAAAAGAAAAAAAAAAAGAAAGAAAAAGAAAGAUGUGUUGAUCCCUAGAUAAACCUAUCCUACUUUUGUGCGCCAAAUUGUUAUUAAUUAAUGGGUGUUAUUUAAGGUGCUCAACAAGGAAAGGACAUGGAUUAAUUAGUUUAAGCUAGUGUUUCCCAAAGUGUUUUUUUUUUAAAAUUUGGGUAAAAUGUAUGGAUGGUCCCUACACUACCUCCUUAUUCUAAAAUGUAAAAAUUAGGUCCUUUUAUUUUUAGGUUCAGAGGCUAAAACGUUUACAUGAAUAUCAGGAUAGUAAAGGACUAUCCAAAAUUUUACACAUUUUUUCUUAUAAUUAACAUAUUUAAUAUAUAUAUAUAUAUAUAUAUAUAUAUAUAUAUAUAUAUAUAUAUAUAUAUAUAUCUGUGUGUGUGUGUGUGUGCACACUUGGGUUUUCUAAGUUUGACUAAGACAAGUCAAUGGACCAAGCUAAACCCUGUUCUUUGUUUAAUCCCAUAUUAUGAUGCUAAAUAUGGUUGAGUUCAAGCAUUGGAAAUGUGAACAUUUAUAUAUACAUAUAUAUAUACUUUGGGAAUAAUAAUGUGACAUCACAUAAGAAUUGCUUGUAAUUGAAUAAUCACAUGGACUUUGGUUAACAUUGCCAUAAGUAAUUAGGUAGAUGAUUCAAAAGGUUUUGUACUAAUUUUUUUUAAAAUUGUUGGGAUCUGUGCACUAUUAUGUUGUUGACACUUCAUCUAUUUUAUGGUAGGUCACACUACAUGAGUCUUGAUCAAGCAACAUUGUUUGAUUUGUAGUUGUGUUCUUUGAAGUUAAGUUGGGCUACAAACGGGCUUGCUCGGCCCAGCCCGGCCCGGCCCGGCCGACACCUUCAGCGCGUGGUGAGAAAGUGCGACGGGAAACAUAUUUGUUCGUUUUCAUAAGCGAGAACUAGUUGCGCUUGGUGAGAAAGUACGAUUUGACACUUACUGUCCGAUGACGGGGACCAUGUUGGUGCGACGGGUUGGCCCCCGGUCCGUUGCGGUGGAUGUGGGUCGUGUUGCCCAUAUCGCGCCCCUACUUUUGUUCCAACACUUUUGGACCAAGCGCGAACGGAGCUGAGAAGUAUCCAUACAAAAUCUCGGCCCAAAAAAAAUCCACAUUACUGGGCCACAAGCCCAUUUAUGGUUGGAUUCAAACUCAAAAUAGGGUUUGAUCAAAUUAAAUUCUAAAGGACAAGGCAGAUUAUGCAUUGCGCUCUCGUCUUUCGUAUCGCAUGAUGAUUCAUCGAUCAUUACCAUGCAUAAGCGGUGGUGUUAAGAUUAUUACUGAAUCAUUUCAUUUUCAGUCGAGUUAGUUAGUAACAAUAAUCUCGAAAUUAUGAUCAUUUUUUGACUAUCAAACGUAACAUCAAACAUCGACUUCGACUACGGUUUGUUUGUUUUGUAAAAUCAAGUGCAGAACUAACUAAACUAACUCAAGAAUGCCAAAGAUUGUAGUGUUCAGAAUCAGUGAGAAAAUGAGGUGAGCGACAAAUAAAGAUACACAGUAUAUUAAAGGGGAUCAGAAAUAACCGUACGCCACCUUCAACUUCGAACACACAUUUCGAUAUUCGUUUUUGAGUAGUAACUGAAUAUUAUAUACCAUGCACAAACUUGAAACAUAGAUAACAUAUAUAUAUAUAUAUAUAUAUAUAUCUAUAUAUAUAAGGUGAGCUGAUCUAUUAUAAAUAUAAAAGAUCCCCCAACAAUAAUUUACAAAAAGCAAUAAAGGGAAAAGGAAAGGAAAAAAAACAUGUUUAAUGUUGCCAAAAUUGGAAAAUUUUCUAAUUCCAAUUUGCCCCUAACAAAUUAAAUUCAAAAUAUAAUAACCUUUCUACUACAUUGGAACAAACACACUUCUUGUAGUAUCCCUAUUGUGCCAUUUCCCAAUUCAGCUUAGAAGCAACUCUUUAAUGGCAAGGAAAAUAAUCCUAGGAAAAGAAGAAGAAGAAGAAGAAGAAGAGAAAUUAAACCCAAAUUUAAUAUUUUUCACACCAACAUUAUUAUAAAAGAUGGUUGAUACAUAAAUGAGACAAUAUAAUGUGAUAAAAAAAGGGUUAAAAAAGAUGUUUUACAACAAUAUUUCUUUGCUCAAAAUGUGUCCUCAAGUAAGAUAUUAUCAUAUAUACAUAUAUAUCUGAAUAAUUAAGUAGUACACCAUGCAUGUAAAUUUACUUUUCAAACUCUUAUAAAUUCAAUUCAAGUGAUGUGCUUUUAAUUAAUCUUAUUACCUCUAAUUUCUUGACCAAUUCCUUCGCGGUUGGAGCUAAAACAAUGAUAUGUCGCGCGCUAGGGCUAAUAAAACCAUCCUCAACAGCUUUAUCAAUGAAGCAUAAAAGUGAGUUGUAGUAUCCAUCUACAUUGAGCAAUCCCACCUACAAAUUUUGAAUUUGGAAGUGAAUAAUUUUGCAUCUCAAUACUGUAAAAAAUCCAACAAUGAACAAUCAAAAAGGAACUGAUUAAGGAACUAAUUAAUUAAAUCAUUUGCAUGUGAAUUAGGAAUGAGUUUUGUGAGAAAAUUUAAUUACUGGCUUGUCAUGUAUGCCCAGUUGAGCCCAUGUGAUUACUUCAAGUAGCUCUUCUAGAGUUCCAUAUCCCCCUGCAUACUAAUCCAAAUUAGUGACAAGAUUAAACUAAUUAUAAAAACAUUGAUGAUGCUCUAAUUCUAAUGAAAAAAAAAGUUUGACUUGAACUCAGUUACUAGAGGUUGUGGGUUGAUGCCUCAUUUUAAUUGUUUAAUGGGUUAAAUUUUUAUCUUUUACCCGUUUCGUUAGACGAAAUUUUUCCUAAUCUCUUUGAUGCAUGUUAGGAGGGUGUAUUCCUAACGUAAACCAAGGGCUUUUUUUGGAUAUCAGAAUAAGUUAUUCUGUAAUAUCUCAUAUUUUAUGAGGUUUUUUUUCUUUUUUAUAGUUGCAAGGUCUUGGAAGCCGGGGUUUAUUAGGAUGAUAAUAUAAUUUAUCUAUGAUAUGAUUUAUUUUAUUUUAAAAAGAUGACUGAAAAGCUAUUCAUAAUAUGUUAUUCUAAACAUAUAGAUUUACUUCUCAUCUAUCAAGUACUAUAAAUAUUUUAAGUAAACAAAAAAAUAUAUACAGAAUAAAUUAUUCAUGGAUAAAAAAAAAAAAGACUCCUAGGAGCUAACAAUAUAUGCAAUUAAGAGAAAGUCAAACAUGGAGCUUGCCAUUUUAUUUAAGUGCAAAAAGACAAGGAUGUUUUUUUUUUUUUUUUUUUUUUUUUUUUUUAAUCUCUAUUUAAGUGCCUUCGGCCUAUAGAAACAAACUGGGCGGAUUCAGGGACGGGAGAGGUCCCCACCUCCCACCCUUUUUUAAGGCAGGUCAAACUGUCAAAGUGGAUUUACUUUAUUUUAUGGUUAAUUGUAUAUAAUUUUCUAUAAACAUACCGAAUAAUAAAUAUAUAUCUCUACAAAAUUCAACUUUUUAUUUUUAUCUCUGCAAAAGUUUAGUAAUAUUCAUAUUUAUUACUCUGGUUGUUAUCGUUAAAGUAGCAGAUCGAUAAGUGAAAUGAUAUUUUGGUUCUUACAAAUAUAUUCCUCCAAAAGUCCUAAUUAUUAGAAUUAUGCAGAAAUAUCCUUAUAGAAAAUAUUUUACCCAAUAAUAUAAGAAAAGUAAAAAAAUCAAUUUAACUCAUUCACUAAUCAGGGUUAAAUAUUUUACUCAUGUUAUAUUUUUUCAAAGAUACUAACGGAGUAUAUUUGAAGACAUUAGGACUAAUACUUUUGGAGGGACAAAAAAUAAAAAGUUGAAUUUUGUAGAAAUAUAUUUGUUAUUUCGAUAUGUUUACGAGGAGCUAUACACAAUUAACGCUUUAUCUUAUUCUUUUACCUUCACUUACUGUUUCAUUCGGAGACAGAAUUUUUCGCAAUUUUUUUGACAGAUUAAAACAGAUCGAGAGAAGAAAGGGAUCCCCCAUCUUCCACUUCAUUUUCUUACUUUAGAUUCGAAAUGAAUCAUUAUUAUUCUUUUUUUUACUUCUGACUCCCACUUAUCACGUCAUUCAGGAUAGAUCGGAACGAAAGCUCGACCACUCCGGAUCCAUUUAGGGAUGUCAAUGGAUAUGGAUACCUGAAAUUUUAUCCGAACCCGAAACCGAAUAAAACGGAUAUAUCUUAUGCUAAAUGGAUAUGGAUUCGGAUAUGAAUUUCAAAAAUAGAAAUCCGACGGAUAUGGAUUCAGAUAUAGAUUUUAACUGUACCGGACCCGAACCCGAACCCGAAUUUAUUUUGUAUUUUAUAUAUAUAUAUAUAUAUAUAUAUAUAUAAAUUUGAUGUUAUAUUUAAAUUUAUAUUUUAAAAAUUUAGAUUUAAUAUAAUAUAUUUUGAAUAUUGAAAAAAAAAAAUUGUUUCGGGUUCAAAUUUUCGAGUUUGGGUUCGGAUUCGGAUUUCGGAUUUUUGUUCGGAUUCGGGUUCGGGUUCGGGUCUCGGGUUUGGAGUCGGGUUCGGAUUCGGAUUUUUGAAAAUUCGCCCUGAAUCCGACCCGUUGACAUCUCUAGAUCCAUUUGCAUCCAUACUUGGGAUGGAUGUAUAUAUCUUAUCAGUGGUAAACAUAUCUGCAGGUGUAUAUAUAGGAAUCACUAACCAGGUAGGGCAAUGAAGGCAUCAGAGCGCCUGGCCAUUUCAGCCUUCCUCUGGUGCAUAUCUGCAACUGCUUUCACCUCUCCCACUGUCUCUCCUGUAAUCUGCAAAAGAUACAGCACACACAUACAACCCAAAAUAAAUAAAUAAAAAAUUAAAAAGGGCAUUUACAUCACUUCUCCUUUAUUUUAUUAAAGGGUAAACUUCGAAUACCACUUCUUAUAUGGUUUCGCACUUUCUCACUUUAGUAUCCAGUGGUUUAAAGUGUACCAAUUUAAUAUCCUGCGGUUUCAUUUUUCUCUUUUCGUCAGCUCACCCGUUAAUAUUUCGUUAGAUUGUAUACAAAAAACUUUAAUACAUGUUAGUUUUAACUUUGUCACUGAUUUAACGAAAAAAAAAAAAGUGGAUGGGAUAAUAAAAAAAUAAAUAAAAAUACGGGAGACUGAAUUUAUUUCUAAAUGAAAUAAACGAAGUGGAUAGCGUGCUAUCUAUCUCUCAAAAAAAAAGAAAUAUUAUUCAUAUACUAUUAAUAAUAUUUUAGAUAAAUUAUAAAUAUAUAAAUAUAUAUUAAAUAUUUACAGUAAGAAAAUUCAUCAUAAAUUCUGAUAAUCAUUACCUAAAUUAAAGGAGUAAAUUAUAUGAGAUAAAAAAAAAAAGCAAAAACAAGAAAAGGACAGUGAGCAGCAGGAGAGAGAGAGAGAGAGAGAGAGAGAGAGAGAGAGAUGGACUGUUUAUUUAGCAUAAAAAAUUAGCAGCAAACAUACCUCUCUAGGCAUGAGAGUCUUGGGAAUAACUCUGCAUUACAUAACAUGGACAAAUUAAUUAAGUUUCUAAACCCUUGGAUUUUUUACUCAGAUUCAGAGAAAACAAAAAAGAACAUUUUCAUUAUUCUUAUAUCUUUCACCCCUCCUUUUGCUGUACUUGAAGAUUGAUUAUUCUUAAAAUAUUUGGCCCAUAAUGAAGUUUACAUACCCAAUGACAUGUCUCCCACCAUCAUGCACAGCUUGGGAGACCAAACCCAUUAGCCCAACACUUCCCCCACCAUACACCAGAUCAAUAUUUCUUGACACCUGACAAGUAAUAAACUAUUAAAUAUAUAUAUAGGAGGAGAGAGAGAAACUGAAACUCCACACAUCCCUUUUCUGACUUCACCGCUCGUUGUUUCUAUUUUCAGCUACAGUAGCCUCAGCAUGUUUAGCAAAUGAAUUUAUCUAAAAUUUCUACUGUGACGGAGCUAAUGACAAAAUGUUUUUUCUGGCGCACUUUCUUAUCAUACAUAAAUAAAUGCAUUCUGCUCGCAAUCCCAAACAACGCCUAAGUCUUGAAUGAUGAAGGUAGAGAACAAACCUAUGAACUCAUAAAAUGAAGAGAUUUAAUUAGAAUAAGCUCUGAUAUAUAUAUAUAUAUAUAUACCGUCGUAACGAAAAGAUCGAUCAUUUAGUAAAAAAUAACAAGCUUAAGAGUAUAUUUGACUGUUUAGAACUUUUGUUUUUACUUCUGAAAGAGGUUGUGAAAAUAUAUAAAUGUUUAUCCUAAAUAUAUUACAAGAUCGUAUAUUAUCAAACAACAUUACACCCGACGAAAAUCAAUAUUAGUGGAUGUUAGGUAAAUUAUGCCACGCGUAUUUGCUGAAAAGGCUACAGAAAAGACAGCUUAAUAAUAGACGGGAAUAACAACCAUACAAUGAUAGAUGGGGAAUCAAACUUAAGAACUCUUAUGAUGGACUCUAAUAUUAUGCAUGUUUUUCAAAAGAUCAAUAUAAUAAGGGACUAUCUGAAAAUAGUUUUAAUAGCUUUUUCUAGAUUAGCAAGUUCAAUGCUCGGAACAGAGAAGAUUCCUUUGGUGUACUUUGAGACAAUGUUAGCCUGAGGAGAUGGAAAAGGGGUUUUAAAAGUACAUAGUAUUUUUAAAAGAAGAGAGAUAUUGAAUAGAAAAAAAAAAAUAGUACUAAAUAGAAAACCAAUAUAUCAUAAUGCAAUUAAUACAAAAACACUUGUCUUAUCCUUCAUUUCAAGCAACAUCCAUAUAACAACAACAUCUAAACUCAAAAUGCAAUAGAAGCAAAAUGAAAGAAGAGAGAUAUUGAAUAUAUCCAGAAUACUAAAGCAUCGCGCGUUCUCUAGCAGCUUAAUUAAGUUUUUUUAACAUAUUAUAGUUAUUUCAUAUGAUAUUAUAGUAGGAAUUUCUUGGUUUAAAUUCUACCAUAGUUGUAGUUUUAAUACAUAACAAUUGUUUCACACAGUAUUAAUUAGAGCGGGAGUUACCAAAUUAAGUUUAAAAUCUACUAUUUUCAUAGUUUAAAAUCUACUAUUUUCAUAGUUUAAAAUCUACUAUUUUGAGCUAGGCACGAAAAAAGUUGCCGCAUAUAAUAAGAUACCAAAUUAAACAUAGUUAUCUAUCAGCUUAAGCUUUUAUAAUAUAACAAUUAUUUUACGCUCGCGUACGUGCGUGAGAGAGAGAGAGAGAGAGAGAGAAAGAGCAUGUACCAAUUCCUUGCCAAGUUCAACUGCAGCAUCUUGGUAGCUCUUCUUCUUCCCUUGGCUACUCCCACAGAACACACAUAUCCUCUUAAAUCUUGAUGGCCUCAUCUCCUUCUCCCUCUCCAUUAAUGUCCUAAUUAAACUCUCUAGCUGGAUCUCUCUCUCUCUAUAUGUAUUUAUCUCUCUUGUCUUAAUUGUAGAGCUAGAGACACUGCAUAUAUAUAUAUAUAUAUAUAUAUAUAUAUGUAUAUGUUGGGCUCUCUCUCUCUCUUUCUCUUAUAUUGUGGGAGUGGUGUGACACAGCAUGAGUGCAAACAAUAAUCCACUAGAGACCUUGAUCACCUGGGAGUGCGCCACCCAUACAUAUAUAUAUAUCCAUAUAUAUUAUGUAUUAUUCUCUUCUUUAUUUAUAUAUAUACAUAUAUAUAUAGAGAGAGAGAGAGAGAGAGAGAGAGAGAGAGAGAGAGAGAGAGAAAGAGAGAGAGGUGUGUGUGGUGAGAUGCAUGAAUGGGUAACCUCAAAUGAGACACGAGCCAACACUCAAUGAUGGGUGUUCUCAGAAUUCAAGAAUGUGACAUAUCUGAUUAAAUAUUCUUUUUGCUUCAAAAGUUUAAGCCUAUAAAUUCAUGGAUGCGUGAUUAUUUGUAUGUGAAUUUUAAUAGAUUCUUUAUUAAUUUGUUUCUUUCAACCCCUCUCGGUCGUAAAGAUUAAUAUUUCACUUCUCGGUUUAUUUGGCGACUCUCAAAAUUAUAGUUUAAUAAUUGAAGUAGUGUCAUCUGGUGUGUUAUUAUUUACGAAAAUAAAUAGAACAUCACACUCUCUCAUCUGGCGGUACACACUUUGCUCGCCCCUACACAUGGUGACAAGAGAAAAACAAAAAAAAGUUGUUUAGCUAAUAUCUAAUGCGCGUUAUCGCAUGAAUGUAAUUAUAUGCAUGGGAGUUGUAUAUAGAAGAGAUCGAUUUAAGUUAUGUUUUAAUGUGGAAGUAAUAUGAUAUGUUAAUCGUUAUUGCGUCAUCAAUCACAGUACUGCUACAUUACUUUUAUAUCAACGGCACAUCAAAAGUUAUUCAACUAAAUUGAAUUGUAAAAUUUAAUCAUAAUAAUUUAAAAAUAUCAAACUGGAAAUUAUAUACAAUAAAUUAUAAUUUGAGAACGGCCAAAAGUGUAAUCUAGCCUUUUUAAUUUCAGUAAACUUGUAUGUAUAUAUAUAUAUAUAUAUAUAUAUAUAUAUAGCAUCAGAAAAUUGUCACCUGUUAGGACAACGUGAUUUUAAUUUCCUAAUUAAUAUAGGCAGGUGCAUUAAUUUUGAUUUUAAUUUCCUAAUUAAUAUAUGCAGGUACAUUAAUUUUAGCACCAGUACCUGCCACAUUAUGGGAGACAUUCUAGGAUAUAGGACAUAAGAAAUUAGUGUAAUAUACGCACUCUGAUUUUAUCCGUACGCAUUUUGCAUUAAUUAUGCUUAAGAAAACAUUAAUAUAUCUUAACAUUAAAGUUUCAACUUACAAAGUAUAAUCUACAGUAUUUAAAAUCAAUGUAGAUUACAAGCUUUAAAAACCUAUCAUUCAAGGGACCUAGCUUCUUUCAAUUCAUAAAGAUUAAUUAUUGUUCAAAUUUACUAUUUUUUAUAGACAAGUUAAUUUUAAAUUUAAAAUUUCAUCAUAGAAUUUUAGGAUUGCCAUGUUUGAAAUUAAUGUGCUUUUGCAUCAAGCACGCAACAAUUUCUAGGAUAGGAAUGCAUCAAUUAUAUAUGAAGAAUAUUAUUUUAUGUACCAUAUUUUAGAAAUAAAAUUAGCUGCAAAUAUAAAGUAACUGUGCUCCGAACUUGGAAUCUCAGCCACCAAUAAUCAAGUUCUUUUCCACCUACGUUAGGGACAGUGCUUGAUAUGUAUUUCAGAAAAACUUUACUAUAGUUUUUAGCAUUAGAAGAAUGAAAAGUUUUUUUAGUUUUGUUUUUUUUGUUUUUUUGUUUUUUUUUUUUUUUUAUUCAUGGGAAUAGAGUGUGAGGGACCACAUACCCCUUCUUUUCAUUGGGGUUAAGUGCAUCAAAUGAUCAUAGAUAUAUAUAUAUAUAUAUAUAUAGUGCAUUGAAGUUUGGUUUUAGUAUUUCCAUGUUCUCAUAAUUCGUACAUAGAAACAAAAAAAAAAGAAGAAAACAUAAUAAUAGUAAUGAAUAAUAACUUAAUAACAACAUCUGAUCUAGAAAAUAUAAUUUACACCAUUUAAAUAACUUAUGUAAAAAAUUAAAAUUCAUUAUUUUUUAAAAAUUUAUUAUCUAUCACACCAUUUAGUUAGAUGUAAUUACAAAUAUAGAGCAAUUGGAGAUAUAUAAGUUGGAAAUACAACAGUUGCAAUUACAUGCAUCAUAUUUGGUUGGAUGUAGUAGAAAGCGCUGCUGAAACUGUAAAUAAUUUGUUUGGUUUGCAUGCGGUUGAGAAAUAAUUUUUAAAUUUUUUUAUUUUUAUAUAUAUAUAUAUAAUGGCUAAAUUAACUUCUAAUGUAAUAUAUAUAUAUAUAUAUAUAUAUAUAUAUAUAUAUAUUAUUAUAUAUAUAUAUAUAUAUAUAUAUUAUAUAUAUUAUAUAUAAUAUAUAUAAUAUAUAUUAUAUUAUAUAUAUAUAUUUUUAAAAAAUAAUUAAGGAUGUAAACUUACUUUUUGUUUAAAAUUGUUCUCUUCAACUACUGCAGUUGGAGUUAAAUAUAUCAAACCAAACACUGAGUUGCAUUUGAUGCAAUUAUCACUAACGUGCAGUUGCAACUAUGCAUGAACAAAAGGCUUGUGCUCGCGUGAGCAAAUCGAGUAGCUAUAUAAGGGGGUGUUUGGUUGGAUGUAGUUGUAGAAACAGUGUAGUUGAAAUACAUGUAGUUGUAAAUGCUGCAGUUGUAACUACACCUAGUCUGUUUGGUUUUACGCAGUUGCAACUGCGUGCAGUUACAUUUUCUGUUGUAUAUUGAAGCUGAUAGUUGUAUUUGUGAUUUUGUCACCUUUUUCAGAUAGAUAGAGUGGUGAGAUUACCUUCACUAAACAUAAAAUAAUUGUAUAAGUUUAUUAAUCAUUUAAAUUUACUAUUUAUAAAUAAAUAAGUAGAUAUAUAUAAUAUUCUUCAACUUAUUAAUCGACACAUUUAAAAUUUUAAUUUAUUUAAUUUUAUAAUGUUAAAUCAACUUUAAAUUUAAACGAUUCUCUCAUUUUUUUAUAUCAAAUUUAAUAAUUAUUAAUUAAUAAAACUUAUUAAAUUAACAUAACACGAUCACAUUCUAUAAUUUUUUUUUAAACAAAACUAUAUUUAUAUUUUAAUAAAAUAAAAUUAAAAUUUAAUUUUUGCACAAGCUUGCAUUGUCUAAAAAUUUAUUAGUAUGAGUUUAUUUACAAGUAUUUUUAUUUACCUAUAUACAUAUAUUAUUUAUUUAUUUAGCUAUUUAUUUAUUUAUUUAUUAUUGAAUUUGUGGGUGAUCUAUCCCUCACCAACUGCUGCAGUUGGAACUACGGCCAAUUUGGAUGUAGUUCCAACUGCAGCAUUUGGCCUUCUUGUGUAGUGGGAACUGCAGCAGUUGAACUCAACUACACUAAACAAACAAAAAAUUGAGGCUGCACGCAUUUGCAACUGCACUGCAGUUGCAAAUGCGUGCAACCAAACAAGCCCAAUAUUUAAAGUUGUAUUAACUUUCUAUAUGUAGAACUAUAUAUUAUUUAUAUAAUUUUUUCAGCACUUACGUGACGAAAAAAAUUGUUGAUUAUUUAUCGAAAAAUAAUUGAAUUUUCAUUUUGGAAAAAAGAAGAGAAAAACAUGGAUUCCACAUUCAUUUGCAUCUAUUCUAAAUACCUAUCCAAACCAGGGGACAAAGGGUGCAGGUGAAAGUAGGAUGUAAUGGGUAUGAAUAUCCGAAAUUUUAUCCGAAUCGAAUAAAACGGAUAUAUUCGAUGUAAAUGGAUAUAGAUUCUGAUAUGGAUAUCAAAAUAGAAAUCGACGGAUAUGAAUUUUGAAUGUACCCAACCUGAACCGAAUUUAUUUUGUAUUAUAUAAUAUUAUAUAUAUUAUAUAUUAUAUUAUAUUUAUUAUAUAUAUAUAUAUAUAUUAUAUAUACUAUAUAUAUAUAUAUAUAUAUAUAUAAAUUUGAUGUUAUAUUUGAAUUUGUAUUUUAAAAAUUUAGAUUUAAUAUAAUAUAUUUUGAAAUAUUGAAAAAAGAAAUAAUGGUUUCGGGUUCAAAUUUUCGGGUUCGGGUUUCGGAUUUUUGGUCGGGUUCGGGUUUAGAUAUGGAUUUUUAAAAUCCGUCAGGUUCGAGUUCGGGUUCGGGUCUCAGGUUUGGAGUCGGAUUCGGGUUCGGAUUUUUAAAAAUCCACUCCGAAUCCGACACGUUGACAUCUCUAGGUGAAAGCAUAUAUAACCACAGCAAUGGAGAUGGCAUAGAACACAUGAUAUAAUGAAUAAGGGUAACAAUGCAUAGAGACCCCUCAACUUUACUAUAUUUAGCGACGCGUUUUAACUUUUAUUUUUUUUAUUAUUGGAUGCUUUUUAGUAAAAGAAAUGAUCAUAUUUAUCUGUAAGCUCAUCAAAUUUAAUAAUUUUAAUCAUUUGUACAAAUAAAUUUAAAAACAAUGAUUAAUAACUAAAAUAGUUGUUAAUUUCUAGAGUUUUUUUAUUUAAUUAAGUAAACAUAAAUGAUCAAUAUAUUUCAAAAGUCUACGUCAACACAUUUACAUCAUCUUUUCAUUCAGCACUCAAAAAGUCUACCUCAACCCAGGCGAAAAGCAAAUGUCUAGCAUGGUAAAUCAUAUUCAGUUUUUAAAUUAUUUUUUCAAAAUUGUUAAGAUAAGUUUCAUUACUGGUAAAAUAUAUUAUCCUAACAAAUUAUGUAUGAUAAAAAUUUUCAACAAGCGAAAGCAAAAUUCUUAGUUUCUAAUCAUGAGAAAAAAAAAAUUAAUACUGAAUAAAUUAUUAUUGAAUAACUUAUUCUGACCAUAUAUAUUGUUCUUCUAUUCGACACUAUGAGAUGGAAAUUACAUUUAAAAGAGACAUGGAGAUUUGUAUAUUUAGCUAAAGUUCGACAAUGAAAUAAUUCAUGAUCUCCACUUUGCAAAAGUUUGUUUUUUUUAUUCUUCUGCAAGAGAGAGAGAGAGAGAGAGAGAGAGAGAGAGAGAGAGAGAGAAUCAAAGAGAGAUCCAAGUUUUUUUAAGAAUCAAAGAGAGAUCCCUAGGACAAGCAUCAAAUCUACCAUUUGUCUUUUGUGUUCACGCACAAUAUCCCAUAAACAAAUUAACAAGAUAUGUGGCUUAAUUAACAAAGUAAUUCAUUAUAUAUGGACCUCACCUAGCAUAGCUGAAUAAGGACUUAAUAGUUGGUACUCGAGAUUUCAAGUUCGUGUCCUUGUUGCUUCACAUUUCUAGCCAAGUUUCUCAACGAAAAAAAAAAGAUCGAAGCGGGUAUCUUGCUACCUUUCUCCUUUUUUUUUUGUUUAAAAAGUAAGCGGCAAAGGGCUUGGUGGUUGAUACCCGAGACCCAAGUUCGAAUCCUAGUUGAUUCACAUUUCUAGCUAAGUUUAUUUCUAAAUGAAAUAAACAAAACGGGUAGAAAAAAAGAAAAAGCACAAUAUAAAUUUUAAUGCUUUUAUGCUUUUAUAUAUGUUCUCAUUUGGCCAAACAUACAAAAAAGCUUUUUUUGCGCGAAAUAUAUUAUUCUAAGCAUUCAAUAAAUCUAAAGUCUGAAACUUUUAUAACGAUAAGUAAAGAGCAUAAAUAAGAUUUUGGAUCAGAAAACUUCUAUUUCUUUCUGUAUACUUCUAUAAAACUGCAGUUGUGUGAAAGUUUCGAUCAAAUCAAAUAAUUUCUACACAAAAAUGAUAUUGUUGUGAAACUGGGGGACAACAAACAAAACGUUCUUUCGACCCCUAUAGGUUUGGCUUUAAUUUGCAUGCCCCUUUUGGUAACACCUAAUAUGAAUGGUAGAUUUCAAGAGAUACACUCCAAAAAAAACAAAAAAGUGUCUUUGAUUAAGAUCAUGCAUGGCCUAUACUUUUUUUUUUUUUUAAAGCUCAAUAUAAAUGCUUUUAUGCUUUUAUAUAUGUUUUCAUUUGGCCAAACAUACAAAAAAGCUUUUUUGCUUGAAAUAUAUAAUUCUAAGCGUUCAAUAAAUCAGAAGUCUGAAACUUCUAUAAGGAUAGUUAGAGAGAAUAAAUGAGGUUUCGGAUCAGAAAACUACUAUUUUUUUCGGUGUAUACUUCUAUAAAACUGUAGUUGCGUAAAAGUUCCAGCCAAAUCAAAUAAUUUCUACACGAAAAUGAUAUUGUUCUGAAACUGGGGGACAACGAACAAAGCCUUCUUUCUAGCCCUAAAGUUUUGGCUUUAAUUUGCAUUCCCCUUUUGGUAACAUCUAACAUGAAUGGUAGAUUGCGAGAGAUACACCCACACACACAAUUUAAAAUUAAAAAAAAAGAGAAAAAAGAAGAAAAUAGAAGUGUCUUCAACUAAGAUCAUGCAUGGCCUAUACAAGAGAUGCCCAUGAGAUGGGUGAGUUUUGUCUUAUCUUAUAUUAAAAAGCAAAACAUGGAUAUAUACCAUGCAUGCAAUGUAUUGGAUCCCACCCAAAUCUUAUGAUCCCUUGAUGAUGAUGAUGAUUGGGUGGAUAACACCUCAUCAUCACCUUUAAAUCAUCAUCAUCACCUUUAAAUCUUUUUUUAUUUAUUAUAAAGUUGGAAUUUAGAAGAUCCACCUAAUAUUCUAGGCAUUGAUGGUACAUUGAGAUUAUGUAAAAUGUUUGUCUAAUUGUGUAUUUAUAUGUAAGGCACUUUGAUGAUGCAUGCAAAGGUUGUUAGGUAAGUUAAUUGACUUUUGCUUCAUAUAUCCUACUUUUGAUCCUCAAAGUAUAAGGCACGUGACACUCUGAUCUUCUAAAUUAUUAUAAUUAAUUUCUUACAGUUUAAUUAAUUUGACUAAAUAGUGUUGUAUGUAUGCUGAUGUAACAAUAUUGUAGUUGAUUAUAUAGCAAUAUUUAGGAUGACUCGUCGCUGUUAUGUUAGUGACACAUCAAUAUUUAGUAUACUAAAUUGGGCCAUGUGAUUUGAUUGUAAUAAUUAAAAAGUCGGACCAAGAAAUAAUGGUAAAUUAUUAAAAUUUAAGAAUUGAAGUGUUACCAGCCUUAUAGUUUGAGAACCAAAAGUAGAGGUGUCAACGGGUCGGAUUCGGGGCGGAUUUUCAAAAACCCGAACCCGAAUCCGACUCCAAACCUGAGACCCAAACCCGAACCCGACGGAUUAUAAAAAUUCAUAUCCAAACUCAAACCCGACAAAAAAUCCGAAACCCGAACCCGAAGAUUUGAACCCGAAACAAUUAUUUUUUUUUUCAAUAUUUCAAACUAUAUUAUAUUAAAUCUAAAAUUUUAAAAUACAAAUUCAAAUAUAACAUCAAAAUAAAUUCGGGUUCGAGUCGGGUUCGGGUUCUGGUUGGGUACAGUCAAAAUCUAUAUCCGUCAGGUUUCUAUUUUUGAUAUCCACAUCUGAAUCCAUAUCCAUUUAGCAUCGGAUAUAUCCGUUUUAUUCGGAUUCGGAUUCGGAUAAAAUUUCGGGUAUCCAUACCCAUUGACAUCCCUAACCAAAAGUGCAAUUUAGCCAAUUUUUUAUCAGUAAAUUGAACUGGUACAGUGAUAGCUUGUGACCUAGCUAGGUUUAUUUGGAGGCCCAAGUCAUUUUGUGUCUCUAUGGCCUAAACCCCUGUUGGGCUUAAAACUAGUAGCCCAAUUUGGAUACUUAGCGAGCUUUGAUUUGAGUGAAGCUAUUGGAAAAAGCACUAUCAGAUUAUGGUUAUACGACAUAGUUGAAACAAAGGUUUAAAAUAUGGACAUCUGUCGAAAAUAACUUCAAUCCUCUGCCAUUAUCAUAGCAACUGCUGUCACCACCACUAUCGUUAUCAUUGCAAUCACUAUCUGUAACUAUGUUUAUCAUUGUGUGAUUUCACUUCGACAAUAUUAUAAUAAUUUGAUGAAUUUUUCAAAAGAAUCCUAAAAACGAACCAAAUGAUAUAUUUUCAUGCACACAAAUCAAAUUUGGGAAACAUAAUUUUUAGAAAACUGUUCCUAUAUGCUUUAGUCUCAAACAUAGCAGAUUCAAGAUUGCUUUACAAGGAUACUUUCAAUAAAGGAAAAACUUCAAAUACCACUUUCGUGGUUUCGCACUUUUUCACUUUAGUAUCACGUAGUUUAAAGUGUAUCACUUUCAUACUCCGUGAUUUUAUUUUUUUUUCUUUUUGUUAUUUCCUUCACUAAUUUUUUUUGUUAAAUUAGUAACAAGGUUAAAACUAAAGAAAAUUAAAGUAAAUAUUCUAUAAAUUAUUGAUGGGGUAUCUGAAAUUUUUUAUACAUGAUUUAACGAAAAGUUAACGGAAGGACUAACAAAAAAAAAAAAAAAAACCAUAGGGUAUUAAAUUGAUACACUUUAAAUUACAGGAUAUUAAAAUGAAAAGUGCGAAACUACAGGAAUGACAUUUGAACUUUACCCUCCAAUAAGAAUAUAAGCUUCAAACAUAUAUCAAAUUUUACCCUCGUAAUCGUAAUUUAUUUAUUUAUUUAUUAAUACAUUAAACUCCUACUUGAUAAUUCAUUUUAUUUCACUUAUUAAAUACUCUUAAUUAAUAAUUAAUUGGUUAAUUAAUUUUAAUUAACAUUAUCACUCGUCUUCUUCUGGAGAGAGAUCGGGCUCCGAGGGCUUCUUCGGCGCCUUCUCCUCCAUCGGCCCCAUUCUCCCUCUCCUUCUCCUCCGCAUCUCCAUCUCCUCCUCCGACGACGAAACCCUAAUCUCCAUGGACGCCCUCCGCCGCCCCCUUCGCCGCCACGCCGCCUGUAUGAAGCACGCCGCCCACGCCCGCCACUGGUGCGAGUAGAACCUGAGCUUGUGCCGCAUCUCCCUGCUGUGCAGCCUCCGGAACUGCGCCGCCACCUCCUUCAGGUCCUCCGCCGCGAGCGCGAACGCCUCCACGUCCGACACCGCGCGCACCGUCCGCGUCGACGUCGGCAGCCCCCUCCGCGCGCGCCGCCCUCGCCCCGCAACGGCGGCGGCGGCGGCGGCGGCGGCGGCAGGGGCGGAGGCGGAGGGGGAGGGGGAGGGGGAGGGGGAAUUGGGGCGGGGGUCGAGGGCCCAGGGGAGGAGCUCCUCGCCGCAGAACUCGCCGGGGCCGAGGAGGCACGAGUUGAAGAAGCCGCUGCGGCCGCCCUGGGUGGUGCACGAGUCGAGGUGUCCGCGGAUGAUGAACAGGGUCUCCCCCACCGGGUCCAGCUCCCGCACCACGCACGUGCCCUUCGUGUACAGCGCCGGCCGCAGCCGCUCGCAGAUCGCCUCUAGCGUCUGCUCGUCCAUCUCGUCGAACAGCGGCACCUGGGGUAAAAAUCCCAUCUCUUAGCAGAUAAAACCAAAUGGUGCUAUGAUUGUAUUGUAUCUUUAACUCUAUGUUCAUUACAUGGCAUUUGGUUCAGUAAAAAUCGCAUUUUGUUAGGAUGAAAUAAAUGGUGUUAUAGUGGUGUUACAAUUUUGACUGUUUUGCGUUCAUUACACGGCAUUUGGUUCAGUAAAAAUCACAUUUUCUUAUUAGAUAAAAGAUGGUGUUAUGAUGUUGACUAUAUGUUCAUUACAUGAGAUUUAGUCGUGCACGAUUAUUAUCUUCUUAUUAGAUUGUGAAUCUUCUGCUCUAGUAGCCCUUUUGAUUUGAUAGAAUAUGGUGCUGUUAUUUGUCUAUGUUUAAAUUUCAAAACUUUAGGCGGAAACCGUAGCAUUUAGUGAAGUGGUUUAUCGACUUAUAAUCGCAGAUUGUUGAUGAGUCUGAUGAAAUUUUAACUUCGGACUGUGGCUCCUGCAAAUGGUGCUGUUUGAGCGAAGCUAUUUAGUGAAUUAAUAAAUUUUAAUUAAAUAUACCGACAAAUCUUUAUGGCGUCUAGGAUGUUGAAAAUCAAGCUUUUAUUACAGAAAAAUGGUGUUCUUAUUUCAUCUAUGCUCGGUACAUGAUAUUUAGUUUAGGUGAUUAUCAUCUUCUUAUUAGAUUGUGAAUCUUCUGCUCUAUUGGAACCUGUUUGACCCGAUUGGAGCUUUUGUAGGAUUGUUGAUUCGAAUAGAUAUAUUCGAAGAAUUACUAAAGUUACCAUCAAAAUAUAGCACUAGAUUUUACAAUAGAAUAAGCAAAAGAUUCUGAAUUUCUACUAUUGAGGUUUAGAAGUUUAUUUUAGCUUGUCGCUGUGGCUUUACCUUUUGAUUGUUAAACAUCUAGCCUUCACUUAUUUAAGUAAAAAGCUAUUCUAAAAGCUAGAUGAAAGAGUAGUUCUACCAUGUGAAUCAAUUAAACUAUCCAAACCAAGCUAUGAUGCUUUUGGAAGCAUGAGAGGUUGGUGCUGUUCCCAUAUUUCUGUAAUUAACGUGCUCAACAACAAGACAAAAUCAUUCAUCAAAGAGAUUUGAGAAGAAUGGGUUAGUGCUUACACUUCGGACUAGAUCAAGGCAUAGAUGGCGCUUGAUAUCUCUUCUGAGGUCCAAGGGUAGGCAUUUGAGUAGGGCUUCUUCGUCGACCCCUUGUGUGGCGACCCAUUUGUACUGAUAAUACCUUCUCACACAUUGCUUCAGCUCCAGUGGGAGCUGCCUAUGAUGCAUCCACUGCUCCAUGUCUGUCCUCUUUAUCCUCCAUUCUUCUAGCCGGACUAUUGUUGAUUGGAGAUAAGACUGCAAAGCAUUUUAAGUGUCCAAACACAAACUAAAUGCACUUAGAUCUCUUCAUUUUCAUUAUGUUUCUUAUGUUCUUGGUGACUCUGUAAUUCCUCUCCUUCUAUUACUUGUUCAAAACUUUUGUAUGUAGAUUAAGGAGAAGACUGCUUUCUUAAUCUUGUGUCAUUUACGUUAAUUGUGUCAAACUUAACUCCCUCAGUUUCCUCUGACUAAUAUUGUUAUACACAUGAUAAGUCAACGACAACUUAUUCUAGGUUAUUUGGUUUUUCUACAUUGUGAAGUUGAUGCACUUACUUGCAUGUUUCCAAUCAGCAAGCCAAACAGCACCAAUCCAAGAAUUGCAAUGAUUAUUGCGAAGCUUAUUUCUCCUAUGUCAAUACUUGUUGACAGAUUCUGACCCAAACAACUGCAAAGUUUGAAAACAAAUAUAAUCACUUCGAAUUUAAGUAUGAUUUUGGUUCAAGAAAGCAAGAUGUCUAAUCGAUCUCGGUUGAAGAUGAACUUUUGAUACUUACCUCAAGUUCUUCAAUCCCCACCAAAAGCAGUAGAAGUACUUUUGGAGGAAUGGAGAUGAUGUUACAUUAAAGUUCAACGCCUCCUUGUAAAUCCCAAACUGGUAGAAGUCACUACUUGGGUUGCAUAAAUUUGGUAGGUUGCUUGAUCGGUACCAAAUAUUCCUUGAACUGUCAAUUCUUUCACAGUCGAAGUACCAAUAUUGGCAGGAGGGGCUAUGAAGACGGCAUGCCUCUCGCCAGCACUCUUCCUGACGCUCGAUUGAUAGGAGAUACCAUACUGCUCCUAGUACCUAUUCAAUGUUAAGAGAAAGUAAGGAGGUGUUAAAACUAGAUUUGUUACUCUGUAUUUUUCGUGUUUGUUUGAAAAACCUACCUGAAUGUAUUGCUUAUUACCAGGAGCAUAUAUAUUAAGUCUUUUAAUUAGGUAGCUGUACAUGAAGAUGCAACUUAAGUAAAGAGAAAAGAAUGAUAAGUGGAACACGAUUGAAAUCAAGUAUAGCACAUUUCGUCUUUUUUUUUUUCCCCGCUGAGAACAACCAUCCAAACUCGGAGCAAAUUUUAUCUUCAUUAAUGGAUUGAUGAAGAUGUUGCAGGAAAAAAGAAGAAUCUUUAUGAUUCGGAAUAUAAUCAAUAAACAUUAAACAAAUAGCUGGUUUGCAACUUACAUGGCUUGCAAGCAUGUAUAGGAUGAGGUUGUAUGCAGCUCCUGCCCAUGCAGUUUCUGUCAUGACCCCAGUAGUCAUUAUGAUUUGCUGCGUUAGUGGGAAGAUCAGAAAGAGCCUUGGGAGGUAUUGGGAGAUGACGCCAAAGCGAAUAAGGUUCUUAUAGCUGGUCAUUGUCGAUCCUUUUAGGUUAGGAACUACAAUCCAUAUUAGAAACUGCAGCGAAAAUGAAAUUUGUAUUAAAACCUCUGAUAUUGCAUCACAUGCAACAGGUAAAGGAAAAUUCAACAAUAAAGUUAUGAAAUAGGCUCUGCUAAUAUGAGUAGCUCAAAAAUCAAAAUCAGGGUGUUAGCAACAAUGAGCUCAACAGGAUAUGCAUAUAAUGUUUAUGCAUGAUGUUUGUCUGUGCUUGUGUUUUUGACGUGUCUACAUACUUGUUGUAUGCUAUUUAUGAUCUUUCUUAUAGUAGGUUUCACAUGAUUCUUCAGAGAUUUAAGAGGAUAUGUCACUUCAAAAAUGAAAAAUGAAGAAAUUAAAAACGUGAGUUUGAUACAGAGAGGGAAACAAGGCUAGCAUUUUACCUGUGGCAGAGGCAAUGCAGCAAUUAGAUCAAGCCAAAAGCUCUUGGAUAAGUACCUUCUAGCAAUCUUUGAUGGAUCAAUAACAAGCUCACCUCUCCCAAAUACGCGAGAGGAUGGAGCAACAAAUGCUGUUCGAAAACGAACAUAUAUCUGGAGUGCAUAGAAAACAUCUGCAAUUGACCGUACUACAGUGAGAGCUAUCAUAAGCGCAGUGUUGAUCUCAAUACAAUUCAUUUUUUGAAUCCCAGGCAAGAAGAAGAACAGAGGAUCCACAAAGAGAGAGACUAAGCUGGCUAUUAGAAAAACUUUAUUCCAACGGUGAAUCGGAUGGCCAUGAGGGUCGAAGGACUUCUUGUCGAUGUUCACCAAAGAAUCGUACUCCUCUGAGAACACUCGAGAUAACACUUUCUCUUUGAAGCAUUUGCUGGGCAUCUCCGGAAAUAUUUUUGAUCCUGAACAGCAUUUAUAUCUCCUUUCAGCUCGUUUCUUGGGUUUGGUUGGAUAACAUGAACUGCAUAUUGUGGACUGCGCCAACUCAACAUCAUCCUGAAAUCUGGAACAUGAUAUCAACAUUUAGAAAAUCUACUGAAAUUUUAUUUCUACGGCAUCGACAUCCUUCCUUGGAGCAAUAUCUCGGGUGAGUAUAGAAUGUUCUAUUUCUACAAUGAACUGCAAAAUACUUAGAACUCUGAAACUUGUUCUAUGCUCAGUAACUUGUAGGAAUGGUUGAAGGAGAUAAUAAUUAAGUUGUUUAUAUUUAUAAUUUAAGAACAGAACUGGAGAUUGAAAUUGUGUGUUCUAUGGGGUUCCCUACAUUGAAGAAAAUGUAUUGGUUUAGAAUUGAUUUGGCAUAGUGGCUAUGAGCUUCAGUGACUGUUUUUCUGUUUAAAACAUUGGAUAGUGGUGGAAGAUUUUUACAUAACAACAUUAGAUUGAUUACAACUACUGCUAAGUUGCAUACUAUUACAGUUAUAGAAAUUGAACUAAUGUAGCUACAAAUAUGCUAAUUCUGUAAGUUAAGAAUGACUGACCUCACUGAUCUCGAACUAGUAAAAGCCAUGUGCUUCGCGAUCAAUCUUGUUCUAAGAAAUCGUUUGAAAUGAUUUAUAUCGCAGAGAAUUGCCAUGUCGUGGGAUACAUUAAACCACAGAUCAAAAGAAAGCCAUUAUGACCACAGAUCAAAAGGUUUCCUGCAACUACUUUUGAUAAGGAUCUUGUGAGUGGAAGUGCCAACUUGCAUUAAAGGCACAGGAGAUCCUCUCACCAUCUGGGAUUUGAAUGUUGAAACUGGGCAGUUACAUGUGACUUAAGAUACGUCCAAAGAUAUGUCCAACAAUUUCCUCUUAAGACUUCUCUUUCUGUCGUGAAACUUCAUUGAAGUGAAAGGAAAAAAGAAACGCCAAAGGCCACAAUCAAGAGUUUGGUUUUUAUUUGAUAAAGAUAAAAAGAUAAUGAAUUACCUAUAUACUUGGUGUUAUUGGGGUAAAAAGUAAAUAAUGAUAGUAGAUUGGUGACAUUAUGAAGGUCUUGUUGAGAAGAGAAGUCAAUCUAAGAGUGUGCCAAUAAAUUGAAAGGAAAUUGGGAGGGAAAAAGAUGACAUAUUUAUUACAACUUGUGAAAAAAUUAUUUUAGUACAAUUUCUGUGUUGCUUCUUGUACUCCGACACUUUGUUGACUUGGUGAAAAAUCAAAUCAUAAAUUGGUCAUUAGUGAUUGAUAGAAGCAGAAACUUUUUCUUUACAUGAAGCUUUUUGUGAUGUUCUGAGUGGCCUGUAAUUUGUAUAUACUAGUGGUUGCCUCUUAACUCCUGGUAUCUGGACAGUGGUUGCUACACCUAAAGAGAACGAAAUACUAGUGGAGGAAAACAUUGUUUCUGCUUUAUUCAACAUGAGUCAUGUGACAAUCUCAUUUCAUGGUGGCAUUUUAUGGAUUGGUGCCAUUCAGAUUAGGGCUUGUCAAUUGUGUGAAGCUAGUGAUGAAACAGACUAAUUUCAUUCAUGUUCUUGCCAAAUUUUUAGACUUUGAAAUGUCUAUCCCAAGUCAGAUUGUGGAAACUGUGCAGGCCAGUUCUUGUUAACAGUGUGAUCUAUCUAUCUUGACCACACAGCGCAUAAUGGUUAAAUGAUCCCCCUUCGAUCCAAUCUUGCCCUUUCAGCCCUCACCAGUCUUCAGGAUGUUGUUAAUCGAGAAAAUAUCCAACAACCUUCUAUACAUGUUAUCAUAUUCUACUCACUUGGUCUUUUCGAAAUAUGCUUUGGAUACCCUCUCUAGGUACCCCUUGUACUAGCUGAUGUGCUGAUUUGUGCUAUGCAAGGUAAUUUACAUAUAAUAUAUGUGUAUGCCAGCAUAUUAGCAGUUUUUUGGCCGACCAUUGGUGGUGCUAUGCUCAUUAGUAAAAGAUAUCCACAUGUUUGGAAGAGCAACUAAACAAGCAACAUGAGUUUUUUUUUUCCUUUUUACUUGUUUAAAUAGAAAAGAAAAAACUGUAAGAGUGCUCUUGUACAAAGAUCCCAGUGCAGGCUGUUAAUAGUUUCUUCUUCUUCUUCUUCUUCUUCUCUUCUUUUUUCCUGCAGUUUCUUCGGAGGUCUUGGUUUCAAUUUCCAGCACUUAGGGCGUGAUAUAUAUACCUCUCACAAAACAAAAGGUGAUGAUAUAUAUAUAGAGUUGAGCUGAAAUGCUAUCUAUAGCAAACGGCCCCGUUGCCACCUCAUUUGUUUUCGAUAAUAGAGCCUCCAAAUCGACGAUCGACACUGUUGAACAUGAUCUAUAUCACUUAAGUAUCUAGAAACCAAAUAUCAAAUUUUUUUGACAUCAUUGGCCUAAUGAUCAAAGGUUUAAAAAUUUGUAAUUUUAUUGGUCGAUGUAAGAUGUUUUCUCAUUUAUCAGCGUAAAGAUAUCCAAAUCAAUUGAAUUUUGAUUAGAAAUUCUUUAAUCUAUUUAGAACAAGAUCUAUACUCUUGAUUUUGAUUAUAGGACUCUUGUCAUCACUUUUUAAAGGGUAUUUUCAGCUGUUCAUUUUUGUGUCCACUUGGUGGACAAGAGGACAAUAUCGAAAAAACGUGAAAUUUGAUUUCUAGAUGCUUCAAGUGGUAUAGAUCAUGUUUGACGGUGCCGAUCAUCAAUUUGGGGCUCCCUUAUUGAAAACAAAUAGGUGGCAAUGGAGCUCAUUUGCUACUGACAACAUUCUAACUCAACUCUCUCUCUCUCUCUCUCUUUGUCUAUAUAUAUAUAUAGAAUUGAGCUCUUAUGCUUUUAAAAGUACUUGGUAAUGAUCAAAUGCGUAGAUCUAACGGUAAAAAACUUACAAGCAUCAAGUACUUGGUGCUNAUAUAUAUAUAUAUAUAUAUAUAUAUAUAUAUAUAUAUAUAUUCCCCAAGUAUAUUCUUUGGAGAAGCUGCUAUAACUUCACUACAGAUAUUGAAUUCUUAGAGGUGAAUUGCUGCAACGUGUCAUAUUAUUUACAAAACUGCAUCAUCUCGCAUCCACGUUUGACAUUCUAUUUACUGCUCCAUAGACUGGUCAUUGUGGCCAAGCAAUAUACAAAACAAAAUAAAGGCAAAACAAGCUGAAAACAGAAAUAAACAAAUAAUACAGUAGAGAAGUUUCAUCCUUGCAAUUAGAAGUGAAACAAAGAACAAUCUGCUUUUUUAGCUAGAGACUAAACACACAAACCAUGAGAAAUUGUUUGAAGGGGGUAAUCAUGCGCACAUCGCACGCGCAGACACAGAUGCGGAACACAUGUGCGCGCGCUCGCACGGACAAAAGGAAAUUAAGAAAUGACAAGAUCCAUGAGAUCAGAGUGUUGGUGGGGGUCCUGGCUCGAACAAUGGAGGGCAGCAACUCCUGAAGAGGCCACAGCAGCAAAGACAGCACAGACUGCAAUUUUUUACAAGAAGAAAGCCAAAGGUUGAGUUCAUUGCAAGUGUAUAAACUUUUCUUCAGCAACCAAUUUUUUUUUCUUUUCUUGGCAAAUGCAUGCAGGUGUACUAUCCGAACCUUAGCGCAUUCGUGAUGGGUACCGGAAUGUUAAAAGCUAUUAUUUCAAUGCUCAACUUGUUAUACUUUUAGCUAUCGUCGCAACUAUUUUGACAGAAUACUAUGUUGCUUGCUGGCACAUUCAUAUUUUGAAAUUCAGGUACUUGAUUCAAAAUAGCCCAUGAAUCAGGUAAUUCUCUGUACAUUUUUACCUUCUUUUUUGUAAAAAAAGCCUAAUAGUUUAAAUUCUGAGCCAGAAAACAAUCACUAAUAUGCAGUAUAAGACUCUUUUCAGAUACUCACUGCCAUGUAUGUACACAAGUUGAGAAGAAGCAGAAGAGGAGCAAAGCAGCAGCAGGUGAGUGAUUACCAUGAAUCCAGGAAUCCGUCAGGUGGUGGCGCAGGUGCGGGCGGAAGCAGUGGCACUUCCGGUGACGGCGGUGAGUACGGCCGCGGCGGGGGACGAGGAUCAGGUUCCAUAAUCUUCGGUAAGGAUUGAUGAGGAAAAUUUCAGUUUGGUGAGUGUUUUGUGCACAUCAGGUGUAUAAUUUUUUUUUUUUAAUCAUAAAUCACCUACUCUUCAAAUUGUGAGUAUCCAACUAACAUUCUGCAUGAACUUGAAUCUUUAUGUGGAGGUUUCCUUUUUUUCUCUGAGGAGUUUGAAACCCAAAUAUAUAUACUAAACCAACACAAAAAUCAUACAUGUGCAUUGUAGGAAGCAUGAUAUCAGUGUACUAAGGCCUCAUUGUUCUUUCCUUGAGUUUGUGGUUUCUAUUCCCUAUUGCCAUUCUAUAAUAAAAAGUUUCAUUUAAUGCACGUGAGAGGUGUUAAUACUUUUUCCUUUUUUUCUUUUUUCUUUUUUUUUUUCGCUGUCGCAUCGAUUUAGUGGGUCACGGUAUGUAAAUAUCACCUUUAUUUAGUAAAUGAAAAACUUCAAAUAUCACUCAUUUUGCACUUUCUUUUCCGUACCCUAUAGUUUAAAGAUAUCGGUUUAGUAUCCUGUAAUUUUAUUUUUCUCUUUUUAUUAUUCUUUUUACUUUCUUUUUUUUUUUUGCUAAAUCAGUGACAAAGUUGAAACUAAAAGAAAUUAGAUGAUAAACUUAGGUGGGUAUCUGAAGUUUUUUGUAUAUGAUUUAACGAAAUGUUAACGAAGGAGCUGAUGUUGGUAAAUGAUAACAUGGCACUUGUUCGGCUAAAAUAUAAUUUUUGUGACCUCAUUAGAAGAUAAAAAAACAUAUUUUUAUAUAUUUGUAGUCUUACUCUUUUUUUUUUUUUUCGUUUAAUCUAAUAGUAUUAGAUGACAUUCGAUACCAAAGAGGCCUCAAGCAAAAUCAAUGAUAACUUAUUCAGUAGGAGAGUUUUCUCUUUUAAGUUUUAAUCAGGAGUUUAAUUUUUGCUACUUUAAUGUUCUUACUAUUCAUAAUUUGGUAUGAUAGUUAUUUUAUUUACGAGGUGAUUUAUCUUAGUUUGUGAAAUUGAUUUAAGAUCGAAUUUGAUAUUUCAUUCUAAAUAAUUAAUCACACUCUUUAUAAAGUAUUGGCUAAAUUAUAAAAAACUCUCUUAUAAAUAUUCGCUUUUUUCACUCUUUUUUUCUAACUUUUAAAAAUUUUUAUUUUAUUCUCUCAAUAUUUCAAGUUGUUGUAUUUAACUAAACUCCGUUAAGGUUUCAUUACUAUUCAGUUUAUUUUUUAUAAUUUAUGUCAAAAAUAUCUUUUAAAUUGAUAAAAAAAUAUUAAAAAUUUAUUUUUUAUAGAAAAAAUAAGAAUAAUUUGGUUAUUUUGUUCACUCCAUUAACAUUGUAGUUUUCUAAAAAUAUUUCUGAAAUUUUAAGAGAGCAAAAUAUAGAUUUUUAAAAAUUAGAAAAGAAAAGUAAAACACGAAUAUUUAUAAAUUUUUUUUUUUAUAAUUUAAUCUAAAAUUUAUACAUUUAAAUAGAAUCGAAAUAUUUAUUGACCAAUUUAUUAUAAAUUUUUUGAACUAUUCCAGUCAAAAUUUUUGUACUUUAGAAAGUCAAAACUGUAAUCCUGCUGCCUUUCUGAAAAAACUGACGCGGCAAAGCAGGUUUCAGCUGGACUUUCAUCAAGAAAUAUGUACAUGAAUAAAUCAUUUUCAUUAUUUUCUCCUUCAAAUUAAAUUUAUUAAUUUUUUCUUUUGACCUUUCAAAUUCGUUUGGACAUUUGAUUUAUACUUGAACACAUCAAGUCACUGAUCCACCAAAAUUAAUUAAUUUAAACUGCUAAGUGAAAUUAGUGUUUCAUCUGAUAUUUAAAUAACCACCCUCGGUAGUCUGAUUGGUAGUACAAAAUACUGUUUUUCAAGCUGCUAAUUCACUAGCAAAUUCUAAUUAUUUUAUAUUAUAAGAUUCUGUUUGAUAUUGAGAAUCAUCUAAUGCUAAUAAAUAAAAUACAUUUAUAUUUGAAUUUGCUUCUCUGUUUUUCAAUAGAAUAGUAAAAAAUUUAUUAUAACAUAAUAUUACAUAUUUAACGUAAUUCCAAAUAAGAAUACAAAUGGGGCGGAUCCAAGAAUGGGCGGGAUCAGUGGAUUUUUGAUGGAUUUGUAGUGAAUCGAAAUGAAUUAAGAGAAUAAAUGGAUCUCUCAUUUUCUAUUCCAUUUUCUAAACGAAUUAGACGGAUUCAGAACGAAUUAUUUUUCUUUUCUCAUUUUUAGGCCUCACAGGUCGCUCUAUUCGGAACGGAUCGGAGCGGCAACUCCACCGACCCGAAUCCAUUUGCAUCCGGAAUCCUAAACGGAGCCUACGUGGCAAAAGCGCUUCUUAGGAAAUGGCUCCAGUCAAUUUGAAAAGGUCAAACUUGCAAACUCUUAACGAAAAAACCCAAUUAAAAAAAAAAAGACUCCAAUUUUGACCAAUUGACUUUGAAAUUCCCCUUCUCCUCGAACCCUAUACGUAUUUAUAUACCCACCCAAUCCCAAGAUCAAACACCCAAUUACAUUUGCUUUUAUUUGGAUCGAACAAAAAAGGAAAAAUCCCCCAAAAAAAGAGAAAAAUUGAGGAAUACGAUGAAUUGGAUUAGUCGAAAGGUUCAUCUCUACAACGUGACCAUGGGCCUCUACAUGCUCGAUUGGUGGGAGCGCUACCUCUUCAGUAUCCUUCUUAUUUUUUGCAUGGAUUUUUUUUUUUUUUUUNUUGUUUGGGGGUGUUUUGAUUUGUUGUUUUAACUAUUUUUUCUGUUAAUUUUAGUACGCACUAGAAAUUUUUUUUUUCUUCUUGUUCAAUUUAAAUAAUUAUAUGCAAUAUUAGCCCUAAUGUAUCGUGCUGUGUUGUUUGAUAUAGUGUUGUAUCAUAUUAAAUUAAUAUAUAUAUUUGUUGUUAUGCAGUAGUAUGUUUGAUUGAUAAAGUGUUGUAUUGUGUUAAUAUAAUAUAUUUCUAAUAAUUUCCUUUUUAGCGGAUUUAGAUUCACCAAUUCAACUUUUUUUCCCUAUGCUUGCUUUAGUUUUUAAAGAAAAUAGUAGUUUGGUAUAAUAGUACGGUAUCAAAGGAGAAGAUUCUAAGUUCACGUCUUUCUAAAUAACUAGUUUUUAUUCCAUUAUUUCUUGUUUAAUUCAAAGUUAUAUCGAGCGUAUAAUAAAUUUUGAGUUCAAAUGCAAGAGACAAUGCGGGAGUUGGAACACCGUUCUGUAGCAGUAAAUGUCAGUUUUCCGAAAAAUAUUCCGAAAAAUAUUUUCAAAUAUUUUUUGUCCGUUUUGGUUCCAGAAAAUAAUAGCUUUUCUGAAAAAGUUUUUUCCCAGAUUUUAUUGACAAAUAAAAAGCAGUGUUUUUGUUUUCCGAAUUUUUUGUCCGGAAAGUAAAAACUGUGGAAAAGGGUGUUUUUCAUGGAAAAUGUUAAAUAUAAAAAUAUACAAACACCGUUCUCCAAUAGCUUAAGCUUUUAGCGUGUAUAACAGUUGUUUCACAUUAUAUCAGAGCAGGAGGUCCUGAGUUCGAGUCGCGUCAGGCUCCUAGCAUUGUUAAUUUUCUCCCAUUUAAUUCAAGCCCAUGUCAUGAACCUUGCAAAAAGUCUCGAGUCCAGACAUGCGGAACAUUCUCUAACAGCUUAAGCUUUUAGCUUUUAGAGUUCACAGAAAACAUUUUCUUUUCCCAAAAAGAACAGUUUUUCACGCUUUUUCGAAAAUUGAUUGGCUAACAUUCCUUGCUUUAAGUUCUUGAUUUUGUUUCCUUUUAUUCUGCCUGUGUUUUUCUGAAUUAUUGAAUCACUCUUUUGAAGAUUCACUUUCAGUAGAACUAGAUGUUUCACCUGCUCCUGAUUAAGAAAAUAGCCAAAUUUAAUCCUGUACGUGAUUUUAUUAUUGUAAGUUUUUUUAGCCAUGUUAGAAUUAGAUUGUGGCCUGUUUGUCUUAACUCUUUUUAGAUGUAUUGAUCCUUGUUCUGCUGUGGUUCAUUUGCUACAAUGGAUCAAGAUUUGCUGCCGAGUUCUACGACAGGUAAGAUCUGUUUCCGCUUUCGAUCUGCAGAUGAAUCUUCGCCAUCAUACAUGAGUUUCAGUCUGAUUUAUGCUGGUCAUCAAUAUCUGGAGAUUGUGCAGGUUUAUUAUAUAUGCAGAUGCUGGGCUGUGUUAUCAGUAAAUUCUUAAUAAGUUGCAUUUUCUGAGUUCAAUCUCAGAUUACUUUGUGAAAUAAUUUUGGUGCAAUUAGUGUUAGUCACUUGAAUAAUCUUUCUCAUCAAAUUCAUUUGCUGUGUCUCAGUACUCCACCAUUCAAAUUCAAUACAGUUUUCGCUUCACUUUGCUUGUCAGCAUCAUUUGUAUCAUCAUUCUCAGAUAUUUGCUGCUGAAAUGACCUGCUGUUUUUCUGCUUUGCAAAUCAUUGCUUUCGAAACAAUGCUUCGCAUACAUCGUCUCCGUACGAAAUCUUUUUCUUUAUUUCUCUAUCGAUCACUAAACAUGACGUGAUCGUCUUAUCGUUUUUUUCAGCCAUGCGAAGACAAAUUUUGGUUGGCGGCACUUCGCCAAUGGGGGCAGUAUAACAUCCUGAUCAAUAACAAGAACCCGCCGAGAGAUAGUAGAGGUUUUAAAAGUCCAUGUUCAUCGUCGAUCAUCGCGUUUCAAACCUCUUUUCUAUGUAAUUACCUCUAGUUUGUAAGCUUAUUUGUCAAAAGACGCCACGCCGCAUGAGAUAUUCAUGCUAUGUUUGUAAUCAGAAUGUCAGAUCUUAAAGGAAACUCUAUCAAAUUGUAAUCUCCUGAGCAUACUAUUUACAACACAUUACAGCUUCUUAAGUUGUCGACGAAUUCCCGAAGAUUUAUUCUCUUUCUGUUUCACAAAUGACAGAGAUUGAUAUCACGAUUGUCAGUACAUCAAUAGCCUGCUCAUAUUUAUCCAUUUACUCAUAUCGUUAGUAAAUUUUGAGUAAACUCUAAAAACAUCAUUCAAAUAGGGGCAUUUAUAUAGGGCGCUUUGCUAAAUACAUUCAUUUUUAUAUUUUGAAAAAUUCAAAAGAUUCAAAAUAAUUUCAAGAGACUUUUCACUUUUCCCCCUCCAAUAAAAUAAAAAUAAUGGUAAAAACUGCUAGCAAGAAGCAAUGACCAAAUCAUUAUAGACGUAAACCGGGCCGGAUUUCGACCCAACCCGGCCUGAUGGUGUGGUUAACUGACCCGGUCCGGUACCUCUUUCUCUGGGUUUAUUUUUCAAAUUUAGCACCCCAAAAUUUUUUUAUUACACAAAUAAGUCCAUAAAAAAAAUUUCAAUUUUAAAAACCGUUUAUCUUGUUUACAUAAAGAGUGUUACUACAUAUAUCAUAUCGUCAUUAUAUUCUAAAUAAAUUUUAAAUUCUAAUAUUUUUACAUGUGUUAGCCAACAUAUCAGCAAUAUAGCUAAGUAUCCAAAAAUAGGAAAAUUAAAAAUAUUUCUCUUAUAUAAAAUAUCUGUUGUUUAGCGUGGCAUCCACGUGGACAAAAAUAUAUAUAUUUUUAUAAUUCAUAAAAUAAAAUAUUUUAAGAUGAUAAAAUACAAAAAAGUAAAAACCUCUCUCUCUCUCUCUCUCUCUCUCUCUCUCUCCACAAUCUCUAAAUCAAAAACAGCAAUGAGAAGUAGAACGGGAAAGCCUUAAAUGAGUGUGUUAUACACUAACAAAAAAAGGAGAGUAAAAAAAAAAAAAAAAAUGGGGUUCUUCUUUGAAAACGCUCUCGCUCCCCUCUCAAUCCCUCGCGCGUCUCCUCCUCUUCUUAGCACGCGCAAACCUACGUUGAGAAAUAAGCGAAAUGGCGUUUCUGAGGUAAUAAAAUCAUGGCAAAAGAGAGUGUAUCCAUCCAUUUUUCCAAUUUCUUUUGCAAUUUUGCGUGUUGCGUAUGCGGUCAAUUUGGUAGGUAAUAUGGUAUCAGAGCCAGUAUACUGAAAAGUCAUUUUCAUUUGAAGAGGUUGUGGGUGCGAUUCCCAAUGUUGAUAAUCCAUUAUAUUCUGUGUCAGUAGUACUUAGAAAAGAUCAAUCUAGUCGGAAAUGACUCGAGAGUAGCUCUUAACACUCUACUCCGGUACAUGGUAGAUAUCAGAUGAAUCAUUUCAUGCACACCGCCUGAAAAGCAUGAAAAGGUAACGUGUAGCACGUCAGUAGGGGCAUUAAUGGCUGGGGAUUAGCCCUUAACGUCCUACUUCGGUGCACGGUAGAUAUCAGAUGAAUCAUUUCGUAUAUACCUCCUAAAGAGCCUGAAAAGGUAACGCCUAGCACGUCAGUAGGGGCAUUAAUGGCUCGGGAUUAGCCCUUAACGCCCUACUCUGGUGCAUGGUAGAUAUCAGGUGAACCAUCCCACCCGCACUGUCCGGAAAGGUAACGAAGGAGACAACAAAAUAAUAGAGAGAUGACAUGCCAUAAAAUGGCAAAGUGGGGAUUAAAUUAGGACUUUCUAAAACAGAGGGGACUUAGAACUGACUCUGAUAUCAUAUUAUAUAUUCAGUAGAAAAUGAUUCAGAAUUAGUCUUAAUAAUGGCUAUUCUCGAACCUUUUCAUGCCAGAUUGAUGUUUUCGGUAACAUUUGUUUCAUUAGAUGGUUUAAGGGUUCUGGUUCUGUGACCUGUUCAAUAUUGAACUUUUGAUGCAUUAUUUAUGGCUGCUUACUUUUUAUAGUAAUUUUCAUUACAUUAUGUCUGAUUCCAAAAUUCGGCGGACGCCUUCUGUUAAUAUUGCAAGUGCUUUGUAUCCAAAAAUGAGUGUAAGAUCUGUAAUCUUUAUUUAUCUGUGUAGAACUUUUGUAUGAACUUGACUGUGAUAGCUAAUUGAAACUCUGCAUUAUGCUUUGUUGUAGUAUAUAUCUGGAUUUUUCUUAUUCAACUGAGAUAUAAUUUUACUGUAAACUUUUUCGUACAUCAUUGUUAUCUCUAUGAUAAUUCAAUUAUAUAUUUGCAAUGUAAUGAUUCAGGCAUUAAUUGGGGAUCUGCAUGUAUGUGAAAUCAACACCUUGGCUUUCAGAUCUCAAAUUUCCCUUGGCAAUUGGAUUUUCGUGCGAAGAAAAGCAUCCGGUGGAGAAUUGGCAAGUUUCAAACUUUUCAAAAGUGAGGUAUUAAAAGCUGGAUACGAGUCCUUACAUUCUGCUGUUAGCUUAAAUUGCAAGACCUGUUGGCCGAAAGUGGAAGAUUUGUUGGAUACUGGUUCAUUUCGCCUCCAGAAAUAUCACUAUUAUGCGAGUAUAGUUCCUGACUUCAAAUCCUGCUAGAUAAAGUGCUUUGUGACUACUUGAAAGUUUGUAUCCGAGGUAUUACAUAUCGUACAAAGGAAAAAGUUACCUUUUUGAUUUCCUCUUAAAAUGGCUGAUACAUGAUCUUUUCCAGAUGUCAGGUGUGAAACUGCAAGUUUUCACCAUUUUCCAAGCAGAACUAUUCUUAUCAUUGGAAUAUCUUGACCUUGGUAAAUGGGUAGCAGCUAUCGAGGCCGGUGCUAUGCUCGGAACACAUCUCAUGAUAUUAUCAGUGUUUAUCAAUUUCACUUCUAUUAUUUUCCAGUACCUUGCUAGUCGUAUUGUCAUGGUCACAGGAAGGAAUCUUGGUGAGGUACCCUUUUUUUUUUUCUCUCAUUUUUCUUCCUUCUAUGGUGAGUUCUAAUGAAUUGGUUCUUUCAUUGUUCACCAUGUUUAAUGCUUAAUUUUUUUUAUUAGAAUUUUUCAUGUAGUUAAAAUUGAGAUUUAAUUUUGCGUUCUUACUUACUGACAUUUGCUGAAUUCAUCUUCUUAAAUUUCUCUGUAAAUUAUGAACUACCCAUUAUCUUUUUCGGCAAAAGAUUUGCAGCGAGGAGUACAGCAGGUUGACAUGUGUAAUUCUCGGUGGUGUAGCUGAGCUAUCCAUGAUUGUUUCAGAUCUGAUAACGGUACUCUUUUAUGCUCAUGUGAUUGAUCAAAUCCAACUUUUCAUAUUGUUGUUCAAAUACUUAUGUCUAUGAUAUAAAAUGCUAGUUUUUAACCGUUGCGCAUGGAUUUCAACGAUUAUAUGGGCUGAGCCAAUUCGAUUGUGUCCUUUUAUCUGCUAUUCUUCCUCUUCUAAGUCCUUUUACUUGGACCCUCCUGGUAAGCAUAUCUCAUUUAGUUUCCAAAUAUCAUGUGGUGCUUUAUUAUUUGAUUUUUCAUGGUGACCUUUACGUAUGAUUUGUAGGGUUCUUUCAAAGAGUCGAUAUAUAUUACUAUAUCAGGUUUCACAUUGCUCUUUUAUCUUCGCGGGAUGCUUGUCAACCAAUUAGAUGUUUCACCUGUCACUUAUGCUAAGCAUUCAGGAUUGAAUAUGGAAACUAUUUGUUCAGUGACUGCUCUUCUUGGCUCAAAUAUUAUGCCUCACUAUUUUUUCAUUUACUCUGCUAUAUUGCAGGUAAAUUGUACUAAGUUCUACUCAUAUCGUUUGCAUGAGCUUUGUGGUCAUUCCCCUCUUUAUUUGGUUGGAACUAUUAUAAUGAAUACAUGCAUGAUUGUGAAGAUAAUGUUGCUUCUAUCACCACCUCAACAUUAUUUCAUCUUUUUUUAAAAGAUAACCUUUAAAUACUUACGAUGUUUAUGGGGAUAAUCAACCACUCUAUUCUAACACAUCGCAAGAUUUGUGUAUAAGCCUAUUGGUUGGCUUCAUAAAUUCUAUCAUUCCUGUCAAAUGAUUCAUCGAUUUCAGUUAUUUCCAUCUUAUACAUCCUCUCUUAAUACAAAUAUGGUGCACAUGGUAUUUGAAUUGUGAACAUUUAAUUCAUUAUAUUCAAUUGAUUUCACUUGGCAUUAUUUAGCUUUUAUCUGAAAGUGUUUCUCUCUUUCGCCAGAUAGCUAUGCUUCAAUUCAAAGAAGAUCAUUAAUUAAUUAGCUAAUUAUCUUUUUAUCUUUGAUGAACUAUCUAUGAUUACCCAAAUAGCCCAAGUUCCAUUUUAAUUCUUUCAGCAGCGUCUUCAGUUAAUUCUGAGACGUGACAAUUUCUCUUUUUUUAUUGCUUCUUCUUAAACAGCAGCAAAGCAGAUCGACAAAUUUUUGUACCGGCAAAGAUGUUCAUAAGAAACUUUUCACCAUAAUACCUAAUUUUUCUAUAAUUUUCUCGGUCAACUACAUGUUGAUGCGCUCAGCAGCAGCUGCAUUUGGUAACACUGGCCAUUUUAUGCCUACUUUUCAAGAAGCAUUUAUGUUGAUGGAUCAGGUUAUGUAUUACUUACACAUGCUCUGUUAUUUUCUGAUUUUCUCAGUCAACAGUCAAAUUUGUAUUACUCGAAUUCAGCAUGUAUUGUUUUUACAUGGAUAAUACCAACCGUUCAGAACUUGGUUGAUCACUAGAUUUUGUCCAAGUGCACGGCAUGUUGCAUAAUUAUUGAUAUCGUACAUCAUUACCUGCCUUUACACCUUAAUCUUUUGAUUGGCAUCUGAGUGUCCAAGUACUCAUAUUGAAGAUGAUUACAUAACAUGUUGUAAUUACAAUAAAUUAAUGCAAAAUUCGUUACACUUCUAAGAUAAUGAUAUAUUAUAAGUUGUUUUUACAUAACAUCCCACAUUUCCAUGACUUUAGGUUGUUUAUGUGUCAAAAAUAAGUUCUUUGACAAAAAGUGAAUGUGUCGAUUGCUGCUUAUAGCUUUGUGGAUCCUUACCAGCAUAGUCGGCUGAAGGCUUGAUGGUUGGUACCCGAGGUCAUUCGAAGCCUACUUGCAUCAUAUUUAUAGCUAAAUUCAUUUUUUUUGUAAAUGAACAAAGCAGGUAGCAAGCUACCUUUCUCUUUCAAUUACAUAAAGGCUUUGUGGAUCCUCAUUGUCAGCACAUAGUUGAUGAUACCACAAAAACUGAACUUCUUUUUUGGUCUUACCAUUUCAAGAAGAUCUGUCACAUGUGUUCUUCGUUGAAAUGCAUGCCUCCAAUGGCCAUAGCUGAUUUUGUGGCACACAAGUAGGCAUGGAAGGAUUGCAGGGCUUCCGCAAGGACAUUUUCUCUUGAUGAUCGAAAAUGAAGGAUGUAAGUUUGUAGCAUAAUUCUUCAAUAUCUUAUAUGUGUUGUAAGCCGACACGAUUUGUAGAUACUAUAUACCUGCAAUAUCCCCAUGUCAAAGCAGAGAGAACCAAUCUCAUCAUGAAAGGAGAUUUCUCCAGCUUCGUUUCUAUGUCCAGGGUUUUCAUUGUCAUUUAUCUUUAAAUAUGGCAUGAUGGCAUGACGGCAUGAUGACUUGGAAGAAAGAUUAUGAUUGGUAUUAGUGGACAAUAAAUAUUCAGCCGUCUAAUAUAUUUCUGGCUACUGUAGAUCAGGCAAGACUAGUCAUCUAAUUUGCAAAAAUAGUUGAUCAGUCAGUUGUAGUCCAGCAGCCAUAGAUGCUUCUUCCUCAGAGCUAACAAAUUAAUCCGGCUCUGAUACAGUUGUUGGGAUUAUACAUCUUUUUAACUUCUGACCUACCUCUUUAGGUGAUCUGAAGAAUUCUCCAAGGAGAUGCUUGGAAGCAGGAGAGAACAUAGUGGGAAGAAAAACAAAGAAAAUGAUGUUGGCUAGGAAACCUUGCUCUUCAGUUUCUAUUUUAGAACGAUUAUAAAGUGCCCUACGUGUAGGGGAAGGUUGCUAAAUAAGGAUAAAAUCCCCAGCGGGUGUUCUAAUCUCUAUCCUAACUCAAAAUUUUAUGAUCUAUACUUUCCUUCUAUGGAAAUUGAGUUUUUCAUGUUAUGUCUAACUUCAGCGAGAGGAAAACAUUAAUUUUGACUAUUGGUUUUCUGCAGUUUUUCUAGAUAAAAAGUUAUUACAGCAAAUGACAGUAAAAAAAGGAGAAAGCCGCUUAGGGAAGGGUCAACCUUCAGACCUUUCUCCCUUUGGCGGAAAAACGUACUAGGCUGCAAAGAAAUCUUCAAGUGAGGUAUCCUAUUCACUCGGUGAUAGGAACUCGGUUGAAUAUGGUCCGAUAGAUGGCGUGAUGUGACCUUGUUACUCGCAAGCUAUCUGGACAUAUACGCCCAUGUUUCACGCAAAGAAAUAAGGGUUAGGGAUUGUUUUUCGCAGAAUCGUUGGUAUUGGAAUAUUAUAAACUUAGUGGUGGUGAGGAAGCUGAGGUGCUAGAGAACUCAUGAGUGCAACAUUUCAGAAACUACGGCUCAAACUUCUAAAUGACUAAUGGCCGAAAGCUAUAAAGUAGAGAUGGACUAACUCGCAAACCUUCAUGAUGUGAUCACUUUGUGCCAUGCUCAUAGAUGGUGGUGUGACGAAUUCCAAUACUCUCUAGAUCUGAAAACUAAAAUUUCUGAUGAAGGUGAAGAUAUUUACAUGGUUGAUCUUAAGGAAGAGAGUUCUGACGGCGGAUAACUUGGUGAAAAAGGGUUUGGUGGGCGAACAAUCUUGCGCAUUAUGUCACGAAGAACUGGACACUGUCGACCACCUAUUCGGUGACUGUGGAUACAACAAGUCCAUACUCCUUAGGAUAUUGCAUGAUGAGAAGCGAACCCAAAAUUAACUUGUGUGCGACUUGUGGGAGGCAACCAAAGAGAUUAGGGAUGGCCAUAGGAGGAAGCAGGAAUUAACUAAACUAGCAGGAUCUUGGUAGGCUAUUUGGAGUGAGAGAAACAAUACCAUCUUCCAACAAAGUAAAAAGUCGGUCUAGCAGGUCCUGAAUGAAUUAUAGAACCUUUUAGAGUUCUGGUUUCAAUGUUUGAAAUGAAGGGUCCUGAGCGAAUCAAGUCAUAGGUCUCGUAUUAUAACUGAGGGUGGGUUGUGUUUCUUCCGCUUCUUCUUUCUCUCUCAUUUUCUCCUUUUGCUUGUUUUUUCUCCUCCUCUGAGGCCAUAUUGCUUCACGUUUGUUGCUAAGUUCAUUAACCUUAUUGAAUGAAGCAGGUAGUAUGCUACUUUUAUCUCACGCAAAAAAGAAAAAAAAAACUUUGACGGUGAAUUUGAGGGUUAAGCGACUUCUGAAAUGGUGCUCAACUACCAGCCCUUUUGGAUAUUUAGAGCUUGGUCGGAUGAAACAAGUCUUGAAUUGCCUCAAUCAGAGUCCCUAUAAAGGAGAUAUGGCCUUCAUAAGUAGUAGGUGUCAUUUUGGGUCAAUAGGCUUCGUUUUUUAUCGAGUGGAGACAAUUUUCCUAGACAUCCGACUAAACCAUUUUCCUAGACAUCCGACUAAACCAUUUGUGUAAACCCAACCUUAUCUAGAUUCUCUCAGAUCACUAGGGAUAAGUUUUUUUUCCUUUUCUUCUAAUAGAAGAGUCUCCUACUUUAAAACCCCAAUUACACAAAAUAUACAGCUAUCAAUUCUCAUGCACCCAAACUCAGGACAAAGGUCCUUAUUUACGCCCUAUUUGGAUGGUAGAAUAAGUUACUUAGUGAUAUCCUAUUUAGCAUGAGGAUUUUCUAUUGUGAUUGAAAGUUAGGAGUCAGAUUAAUUGUUUACAAUGGAAUAGCAUAUUCGGCCUUCAAGUUCAUUUUUCGGAAUAAAAUAAAUCACCUUGUUGGCAAAAUAUGCUAUCCUACGUAAUCAUGGAUGCCAAGGCCUUUCCAGGAUCAAAAAUCAAAUUCCUACCUUCCAAUCACACAAGAAACUUUCCAUACCGAAUAAGUUAUCAUCAGAUAAUUUAUUCUGCAAUCCAAACAAGGCCUUAUGUCCACAACAUUAAUAUUGUUGUUAUUGAUUGCUAAUCUUAAAUUAGAACUAUUUGUUUGAAACCUAUAAAACUAGAAAGUUGUUGAGUAUAAUCAGUCUGCGACAUCCAGUUGACUACAACUUUCCAUAUGAAUAAUGGACUGAUAGCGCCAUUUAGCCGAUAGAUCAUGUCAUUCCCAGUCCUUGUAAGUAGGACAAUCUUGGCCCUUCGGUGUUUGUAAUAGUAAAGAGCAGUUUUAACAAGAAAAUUUGAUUUGUGGAGAUAUUCUCUAGGAACCAAUAGCACCCGCAGUCAUGACGCUCCCCUCAUGUAAUAAUUGCGAGGUUAGUCGCCUUUAUGGGGUACAUUGAGUAUAAAUCGUCCGAGUCGCUAUGAAUUCAACGAAAACCAUUAUUAGAAACUUUUACUAUCUUACCAUUUGCGACGCUAUUGAGAAUCAUUUGAUCCAGUGCAUCAGAAAAUCCCUUCCACUAUAUCUAUAGGGAUAUCUAUCUCCUUUUCUAUCACCGGUAUCUACAGAAGCCUCAAUGUGCCAUCUUUCGUCUACCGCCUAGGACUUUUUCACUUUGAUUUCCGUUUAGUAGUAAGCAACGCCAGGCUUCUGGUGGCAUUUCCAAUUUGCCACCGAAGUGACAUCUUUUACCCUUGGUAAGUUCUAUAGAACUUUAUGUUACUUCUCUAAUCUUGUAGGAAACUCGGUUUCUUGACGACAACAGAGAUAAGUCAAUAUCAAAGACAAUGAUUUGGCAUUUGAUGUUUAGUGGCCUGAUCACAUGCUACGACAUAUUUUGUCUUCAUGGAUCAAGCAGAUGUCACGAGUCCAAGAAGUUUUUUUUUGAAAAGUUAGAAGGCCAAAAGUAGAUGCAAGUCUUGUAGACCAUGGUGUGGAUCAAGGGUUUUAGCCUCAGUUAUUUGCAAGAAAUCAAUGGAAUGUAAAGGAGAAGUGAACUAAGAUCAGAUAAGAAAUCCUCACUAUUCACAUCAGUGUGUAAGGUUUCUUCUCACCAGAGUGUUUAUUUAAACUGAGGCCCUGAAAUAGAAUCUCCCAAGAUUUCGUAAACAAAGAUUAAAACUGUUUUGCAUCUUAGUAUGGAAAUGGUCAAAAAUAACUCAAAAGACAUAAUUUUUCCUUACAUAGUAAUAAUACAAUUCAUAUAUAAUUAUUUCUGUAUCUCUGCAACUAUGAGGUAAUGCUUAUUGAUCGUGAACCUGGAGUAAUGCGCGUUAUGAGAAAUAUCCAUAGAACCUUGGCUUCUAACAUGAUGUAUGGUAACUUACAUAAUAGCUUGUUUACGUAUAUGUGAAAGUUCAAUGAGAUGUCAUAAAAGUUUAGAUGUAUAAAAUUGGCGCUGAUCGAUCUGACUAAGGCUGAUCUUAAAACCCCUGUUUUAGGGGUAUUCCGCCUUAUAUAGAAAGAUGCUAAUUGUUUAUAAUGAUAAAUUGCUUGAAGUCUUUAAUUAUAAUGCCAUGCAUGGAAUCAAGGCCUUUGUAUUUUGGAAGUGAACAAAAAAUGGAAAGAGAAUAUAGUGUUUUUUUUUGUCCUUUUGAGAGGAAGGUAGCAAGCUACCCGUUUCGUUCAUUAUUUUUUUAGAAAUUAACUUAGCUAGAAAUGUGAAGCAACUAGGCUUCAAAAUUGAAAUCUCGGGUACCAACCACCAAGCCCUUAGUUAACUGUGCUUGAUACAGUCGGUAAAAGAGAAUAUAGCCUGUCACUUUCUCUAAGUAAAUGUAUGUACUUGAUGGAUGAUAGCUUAACAUAAAAUUAGCAUAAUAUAUUAUUCCUAUAUAUCGAUAUACUGAAAUCUAUGUUUCUAGGUUACCUGAUUUUAUAUUUUUUUUUUCAUUUGUCUUAAUAUUUUUGCGUAUGUUGAACUUGAAAUUUUGAUGAAGCUUAUUUACUAAAAAUUGAAACUGAACCAAAUACUUGAAUGCUUCCCUCUUUGUAAAUGAUUGCAAAGUUAUCUUGCGCAGUAAAUUAAAAAAGUAACUGAGAUAGAUGGGAAAAAUUGAAAGCAUCUAUUGAGUAGUUAUACAAAUGCCAGAUGAUAACUUAAACAGUUUGUUGCUUAACCAUGACAUAGUACAUAUUUAUAGUAUUGAUAUGAUUAUCACAAGCCUCUUGUAUAGGUUUUCAUUCGAAACUUUGUAUGCGAAACUUAAAGACCUUUACCAAACAUUGAUGAUGACAUAAUCCUGCAAUUUUCUAGAUAUCACAAUCUUUUGUAGCUCUAUUGAUCUUCCAGUCGGCGAAAUGAAAACUAACAAUCAAAAAAGUAUAAACUACAUGGGGCAUAAAAUUAAUUAAGAAAAUCAUCUAAUUUAAAUUCUCCUACUUCAUGCGGUGAGAAAUUCUUCUAGGCCUCUAUUCUAGGCCUCUAAGUACUUUCUUAGUCAAACUAAUCCAAAAUUGUGCUGGAAAAUCAGAUUAGUAUUGCAUAAUUAACUUAACUAUCUAGUAAAUGGUUUGAUGUUUUUACAAUUUCAACUUUUGCAGAUCUUUACAAGUCCGACAGCAAGUUCUACUUUCGGUGUUGUUUUCUUCAUCUCUAGUCUGGUUACAUCUGUAAAUCGGAAUCUUGGUCAGCAAGUGGUUUUACAUAAUUUAUUUCGCAUUGACCUACCUGUUUCGAUUCAUCACCUUAUAGUGAAAGCUCUAGCCACCAUUCCAGCUCUGUUGUUCCUACGCAGUAUUGGUUCAGCGAAUAUCUACCCUUUGCUUCUUUUCUUUCAAGUCAUUGUAGCUAUUCUGCUGCCACCAUCAAUUCUUCCUCUUUUGCGUAUUUCGUCGUCAAAAUCUCUGAUGGGUGUGUUCAAAAGCUCAAUGCUUUUAGAAAUUCUCCUUUGGCUUGCAUUACUUGUCAUUGUUGCAACAAAUAUCAUAUUUAUCGUGGCAUUGUUGCUCGGAGAUAGCUGCUGGUUUUCUGAACUGUCGGGAUUCCUCUAUGUUACUGUUCUUCUUCUCGCUUUGACAUCAUUGGGCUUUACAAUUUAUUUGGCCUUCGAACCAUUAGCAUCAACAAAAAUUAGACCAGAAAUGCAGAUUCUCAAGUGGGCCACGCAAAAUGAUCAAUUUGAUCUGCCCAAGAGUAACGAAGAGAAGUUCGUGGAUAAUAAGAAUGCAUUAUAUCAUGAUCAAGCUUUCGCAGAACAAAGAAAGGCCGAGAAUUCCCUGGAGAUUGAAUCUGGUGGACCAGUUCUUCUGUCUAAUCUUGAUCAAGUUAAUACAGUUACUGGUUCUGAAUUUGAUGUUAAGGAAUGGAGAGAUGAGCCUUUUGUUGGGGAUUUUGUUAAUGAGAUUGCUCGGCAAAGUGACGAAUUCAAAGCCCCAAGCGAGAGGAAUGAGGAACUAGAAGUGUUUGUGCGUGACAAGAAGGCUGAAGACACCAGAGACAUUUUCAAACCUUUUAGCAUUCCAAUUAUUUCACCUUUCGGCGUGAAUCAAUCUUCAAAUAAUGCGAGAAUAAAAGGUAACAUUUCUGGUGUUGUUGAGAGCAAAAGUACAGCGGCAACUGGACUUAGUCGUUCUGGGCGACGCAACUUGGCGGCCAUUCUUGACGAAUUCUGGGCGCACAUUUUUGAUUUACAUGGGAAUCUAACAGAGAAAGCAAAGAUCAUAAGAGCAGAUCUUCUACUUGGAUUGGAUAUAAAAGUACUCUCUGCAGGAAAAGAAGCUUCUCAGAAGAAUUUAGACUCUGGAACUCCUAAUAUCGACAAAUCUUCUGUUACUGAAUCUACCGGGCCUUAUAAUGAUUCUUCUUUGGUUGUAGUUAACGUCCCCUUGGGCUAUACGAGGAACAUCCCUACAUCGCCUGCUGUUGCCAAGCUGAAAAAGUUAAUCAGGCUUUCUUUUCUCAAUGGACGAGGUGACCAAUCUGAAGAAGAAUUGUCAGAAAAGAUUCUGUCUCUGGAUAAGUUGGCACAUGAACAAGCAAAGAAUCAAAAUAUCCCCGUCGUAAAAUCGGGAGGUUUUUACUCGUUAGAAUCAAAACUAAAUGAGAACUUUUUGUCUGAGCCAAUCAGCCCGAUAGUGGACUCGCAACCUUUCUGGGCUACUCAACCGUUGGAAGGAAUAUUCAGCACGACGAUUUUAGCCAGAAAGGGAGAGAGGCCCGGCGAAUUCAAAAGAGCUUUCACUCCAAAGGUUACGUUUCCGUUUAGAGAAGCGGAAGGCUUGGUUUUAUUCUCUCUCCGUGUUUGCUUCGGCAAGCUUUUGAAUUUGGACGGUUCUGAUUGGUUGUUCGCUCAAAAAGGAGGUUAUGAUGAGGAGCUAAUAGACUCAGUGGCCGCGGCAGAGGGAUUUCAACCAGGAAUGGACAAGGCUUGGAAGGGCACUGAGGACGAAGUCGUGAAUCUCUGGUUGUCAAUUCCUAAUUGUGGCGACAAAUGUGUUUGGCAAUCUCACCUCGUUGUUAGCUUUGGAAUAUGGUGUAUUCACCGUAUAUUGGAAUUGCUUAUCGUGGAGAACCGGCCUGAGUUCUGGGGAAAGUACACCUAUGUUCUUAACCGGCUUCAGGUAAAGCGAAUAUUGAACCGCCGCAUGCAUUUAAAUUUCGAGUAGCGUUCUAUUUUGCUCUUUGAAGGAGCACUAACAGCUUUUUCUCAACAAAAAUGUUCCAAUAAGUUGCUGCUGCAGCAGAAGCAAAGUUCAAAUUGAAACUACUGAUCUUUUACUUAUCUUAUGACCGUUCGCUGUUUCGCUACUUCCUGAAAUAGAGAAGUUAUUUCAGAAGUCUAACUAAAUAGGCACGUAAACAUUGCAUACUAACUAUUUACGUCGGAUGUAGGGCAUACUUGAUCCCGCAUUCUUAAAGCCUCGCAUGUUCCUCGCCCCGUGCCAUUGCCUCAACCGCGCAGAAAUGAAUGUAAGUUGGACUGAAUCUACUGGCGCAAACUUUGUUCUGCAAAUGCUUAAGGACGUCGAAAGUGCUAUAUCGGGCCGUCGAGGCCGAGCUGGGACUGCAGCAGGAGAUGUUGCAUUCCCGAAGGGCAAGGAGAAUGUGGCGUCGGUCGUCAAGCGCUACAAGCGCCGGCUUUCCAAGAAGCCAUCUGGUGCAAAUUAGAAGCUGUUUUUUUCGAAUCUCGAAAUAAUUCUCCAUAGUUUGGAGUAACUGAGAAUAAAGUUUGGUGUUUCUCAUCAUGGAUUGAAAUUGAGGAACAUGACUUGCUCUGGUUGUUCAUUAAUGCCAAUUAAUGAGUUGUGCUUUCAUGGUGGUUUUGCUUUUAAUUCAUGAUGGUUGCUUCGAUGUCGAUCGAUGAACAACUACAAGCGAAAAAAAUUCGUGUUUUACUGAAACAAUGUAACCUCUAAACUAAGGUUUUAAGUGCCCGUAGGCACAGGCCGUAUCCACCAUGCUGUACCGUGCCGGCAAGUUUCCGGCACGAGCUUGUGCCACGGCACUUAAAUCCUUAUUCUAAACCCCCCUACUACAAUUCUUUUGCAAAUAGGUGCCUAAACUUUCAAAUUUUGCAAUUAUAUUCUUUAAAGUUUAGCCUUUCUCUUAAUUAAAGUUAUUAAUUACCCAAUCAUUUUAAUCGUAUAUAUUGCAUAUAGAUAUAUAAAGUUUUAGAACACAAACUUUUUUUGUAAUCUAACAUAUAAAAAAGAAUAAAAUUAAAAAUCUGAUUCAAUCUAUUCUUUGCUCGUCAUGACUUAAAAAGACCACCUGAGCAGAGUUUUUUUAUUAAUAGGCUUAAAAAAUAUUAUAAUUAUUAAAGUAGUUCUUUAAAAAAUUUAUUUAGAAAACUAAUCUUAUGCGGUGAAUGAUUCAUUUUUUUUAAAUGAGAUAAAUCAUUCACCACUUGCUCAAAUGUUAAAAUUAUUUUCACUAUUUAUUAUUAUACACUUUUUUGGAGGACGGGCGUAGAAAAUAUAUAAAUAUGGUAACAACAGUAAAUCAUUCACAAUUCAAGUUUAGUUUUAUAAAUAAAAAUUAGUAAACUUCAAAUACCAUCCAUGUGGUUUCAUACUUUUUCAUUUUAGUACCAUAUAAUUUAAAGUGUAUCACUUUAGUACCAUAUGAUUCAUUUUUUUUUCCUUUCUGUCAGCACCUUGGUUAACUCCCAAUUAAAUCAUAUACAAAGAAUUUCAGAUACCCCACCUAUAAUUUAUUGAAUAUUUACCUUAGCAUCCUAUAGUUUACCGAAUUUUUCUUUUGUACCGUGUGGUUUUACCUUUAUGAUUGAUAUAAUGGAAAAAUUAAUAGAGAAGAUAAUAAAAAAAAAAAAAACAAAACCAUAAGAUACUAUAAAGUGAUAUAUUUUAAAUUAUAGAAUACUGAAGUGAAAAAGCGUGAAAACAAAGUGGUGAUAUUUGAAGUUUUUUUAAUAAAAAUUUUGAAUAAAUUUUUUUAUAAUUAAAAAAUUUUGUCAUGAUAGUUGCUCAAUCCACCUAAACGAUGCCACGCGGCACACAUCAUGUAGAGCAUUUAUAUACCCACUCUUUAAAGUCAAUAUAUAAUAAUAAUAAUAAUAGUAGUAGUAAAAUACAAAUCCCAAAAUACUCUCUCUCUCUCUUUCUCUCUCUCUCUCUUUCUCGGUGCUCUCCGAGGUUAUCCUAUAUUUCUUAUUCGAGAAUAAAAUAAAAAAAAAAAAGGUACGCUGUUUUAAACCCCAACUCAAUUCUCUGUUUUCCUUAUUAAUUCCCUUUAAUAUUUGUGCAAUUAAUUCCCUUUUUAUUAUUUUUGGGGAUAAAGUUAUUCCCUGCUCUGUGGAGCAGUAAUAAGGGGAUAUAUCCAUGGGAUUCGUGCUGGUGAUAUCCCUGCCGUUCCUUCUCCUGAUCGCGAUCCUGGCCCUCGGUUGCUACUUGCUGGGCCGCGCCCGGGGCCGGGCCGAGUUGGGGGGCCCGCAGUUCUAUGGGCCCCCGGCCCCAGCCCCGCCCCUCGCGGCCCAACCUCCGCCUCCGGAGAAGUAGCGGUGUUGCAGUGGCUAAAAGCACUUAUUUUUAGUCUUUAAAAAGAUCGAGAAGAUCUAAAAGUACUUUCGGUUAGUAAUACUUUUAUAUUUUUAAAAACUUUUUAUAUAUAUAUAUAAGCUAUGACUUUGGCCACCGCGCAACCAAACUAGGCAUUAGGAAUUUUCGUUCCUGAUGUGUCAUGGACUUUUUCUUUUUCCGUGAAAAGAUAGGUGUUCAUAAAUAAAUGGAAGCGGUCUUAGUAAUAAUGUAAGAAUUUGUAUGGGAUUGUCGAUGUAUUGGUAUAUAUUGUAUGAAAAACUUUAAUUGAUUUAUACAUGUAGUCUGUAACGUUUGUUAUAAUAUCUGAUUAGAUCUAUAUUCUCCCCGCCCGACCCGGCUUCCGAUAUAAAUCGGAGGCCCGUGCUAGCUGGCCUGUCCUUGCCCAGUCAAUUUGGACUGGGCUUGGGCCGAGAAUCGGGUCGGGUCGGGUCCGGUCGGGUCGGACUCAAAUUGGCCAGAGGUUUAGUCAAGGUGAUUUUUGGCCGAAGAAAUUCUAGACACCGAAAGCAGAAGCUUCAAUUUUUCAUAGCUGUGAAUGCGGAAAUGUAUAAUUGUUUCUUUCUUAUUUAUUUCUUGUCGAAACAAACACCAAACGGUACGAUUACAAAUUAGCACAGUUAAUUGCUUUAAUUUUGCACACAAAUUAGUUGCAAAAAGGAUUGCAAAAUUUAUAAUUAUUAACGAGUUCUUAAAAUUUGGUGGUUGAAAAGCAUUUUAAUGUCUAGAUUAAAUGGUUUCAAUGAAACUUAAAACUUCGACCUUAUCUUACCUCUCACUUAAUAGGUACAUGGGUUCAUUAAAACUAGAAUUUGAUCUUUUUUUUGUGUCAAUAAUUCACUAUUACAUACGAGAUUUAUCGAGUAAUUUGAUGCCUUUAUUGGCCUUGAAAUUAAUACUAAGACCGUCAACGAGCCGAACACGAGUGAGCUCGGACUGGCUGGUGUUCGUUUGUUUAUAAACAAGUCAAACAUAAGCUGGCUCAUAAACAAUAAAUUAAAUUGUCAACCUUACUACUGGGUAAAAAGUUGGAAGAAAAAUAAAUAAAUAAAAAUCAUAAUCUAAUAAUUAAAAUUUAUAAAAUAUAGAUCUCUUUACAUACAACGGUGGAUCUCCAGCUCAUUUUGAAUCGAACAUGAAUUAACUUACGAACAGCGAGAUGGAUUGUCAAUGCCAUCGAUUCAUAGCUUGUAACAAAAUAACUUUUCCUUAAGUUUGUCUUUAAUUUAUUUUCAACGAAAAAAAGCCUUACAUUAUGUUAUUUUUCUCUCUCUCCCCCCUUUUUUUAUAUAAAUUUUGUUGAGCAUAGACACAAAAAAAAACAAAAAAAAAAAGCUAAGCUGGCACAUCCAUAGAGUCAACAUUUUGGGUUAUAUUAACGAGUUUUGCAUCAAGAAACGUGAAGCGUAUGUUAACUCAUGACCAGUGAAACUACCUACCAAUCUCUCCUUAUAUUAUUAUAUAAUGUGGAUGUAACAGAUAUGCAUGUGGGGUUCCCAUGAUACCACAACACCAUCAAGGGUGGAGAGAGAGAGAGAGAGAGGUUGGUGGAUCGUACAGUGUAGGUUAUGCCACCUAACUAGCAUCUUAGGAUGCCACGUGGCAUCCCUCUCUUUCUCUAUCUAGAAAUUCUUGCGUAGACCUGUUCCUCUCGAUUGUCAGCAAUAAACCUUCGAGUGAUCAGCCAUUUAUGCCAUCUCUGUCGCAUGUUUGCUUAUGUUCUUUUUAUUUUUCUACUUUAAAUUACAAUUGUUGUAACUAUUUCUACCUACAUCAUUUUUUAUUUAUAGUUAGUGUGGUACUAGGUCCAGUCCUAAGCCCUCUUUGUUUCAGAGACUUCGAUUCGCAUUCUAUAUCCCUAUUUUAUAACAUAUAUUUUUAUUUGUUAAUUUUUAUAUUUUUCUCUUUUGUUAUUUUUUCUAUUAAUGCAUAUAGUAUGAUUCGUCUGUUCUUCAUAAUACACAUGAAUAAAAAUGUUAAGAUUAUCUUUUGGAUUGUUUAGUAUAUCCGGUCUAUCUUUUGGAUGAUCAACAAUCAUCGAUCUCUCUCGCAUAUUUGAUAGAUAGAGAGCAGCUAGUUGUUAGAUAAACUUUAAUACAUUCUUUUUGUUAAAAACUGUACCGCCCCAAUAGAUGUACGUCGGAUAGAAAAAAAAUUUUGAUUGAAAAUAUAAGAGAUUACGUGCCCUAAUAAUAGUAAUUAAACUUAAGUAUUUUGGGACAGUGAUUUGAAUCUAAUGAGUUAUUAUUGCUAGCUAGUCUAGUCGUUACAAAAACACUAGUCAAAUAAUAUUACACCGCAUAACGCCACAUACACCUUGCAAUUAAGCCAGACAAUUUUUAAAAAAGAAGUUUAAAUUUUAAAGGCUGAAAAUUACUGAAAAUCAGAUGGUAAUUAAACUAAGAAAUGGAAUAAUAGUAGAUUCAUUAGCUGAUUCAUGCUGGCAUGGUGGACAUGGCUCAUUCUCUCUCUCUAUAUAUAUAGAGAGAGAGUUGAGCUAGAAUAUUCCCAAAAAUAUUGAAUUUGUAGCCCUUAGAUGGAGUGAUGUAGGGGUAAGAUGAUAGUGGUUGGUGGAAUAGUGUUUGAUUUAAAGACUAUUACUAGUUAAAGGGUAGAUUUAAGAGUUACAAAUCUAAAAGCACUAAGGGAUUGGUAUUUCUAAAUGUAUACUAGCUCAAUUAUAUAUAUAUAUAUAUAUAUAUAUAGAGAGAGAGAGAGAGAGAGAGAGAGAGAGAGAGAGAGAGUUGAGCUAAAAUACUUUUAAAAGUAUCAAGAGAGUGGUGCUUUUGAGUUUUUAGCCAUUGGAUGGACAAAUAUAGAGUUGAGAUGAUGAUGGUAGAUGGUGGUAGGUGAAAUAAUAUUUGAUCCAAGAGUUAUUAGUAAUGAAGGAGUAGAUCCAAGAGCUAAAAACCUAGAACCACCAAGGAGUUAGUGCUUCUAAUAGUAUUCUAGCUCAAUUAUAUAUAUAUAUAUAGAGAGAGAGAGAGAGAGAGAGAGAGAGAGUUGUGUUGGUAUGCUUAUGGAAGCACGGCGGCCUCCGUGCUUCCAAGUCGUUUUCGAUGUUCGGACUUUCGAAUCGACGAUCGGCUCCGUUAGAGUUGAUCUAGAGUAUUUGAAAUACUUAGAAAAUAAAUUUUGCUAUUUUUCGAUAUCAUUUGCCUAGUGAUCGAAGGGGCUCAAAAUCAAUAAUUUUAACGGCCGUGGUGAGCCGGUUACAAAUUUAACGGUGUAGAAAUAUCCAAAUCACAUGAAAUUUUGAUAAAAAAUUCUUUAUACCAUAUAAAACAAGAUUAAUAAUUUUAAUCUAAAAUUUUAAUGUCAUAUCAUCAUAUUUUGUAAGAUUUUUAUUUUCAGCUGUUGAUUUUGAGCCACUUCGAUCACUAGGCAAAUGAUAUCGAAAAAUCGUAAAAUUUAUUUUCUAGAUACUUCAAAUACUCUAGAUCAAGUCUAACGGAGCCGAUCGUCGAUUCGAAAGUCUAAACAUCGAAAA
rnacentral:lncRNA from 1 species